GUGGGGUGAGCGUGAAAGGGCGGAGCGCCACGGGAGAAGCGGGGAGUGUUGGGGAUCGGUGGCGCCGGUGGAGGAUGCGGCUGCGCUCGGGCGUGUUCGCCUCCUCUUGCCUCCUCAUGGAGGCCCUGGGGGUCGCACUGUUCCUCCGCGGCUUCUUUCCGGUGCCGGUCAGGUCCCUGUCCCGCAGAGAAGUCCGCGGGGACCCUCCGGCCGAACCAGCCCCGUCCGGCCCAGGAACGGUUUCUAACUGGACCAAAAUUCCACCACCACUUUUCAAAAAAGUUGUCAUUGUGCUGAUAGAUUCUUUGAGAGAUGACUUUCUGUUUGGACCAAAAGGCAAACAGUUCAUGCCAUAUACAGCACAAGCUGUUGAAAAAGGGACAUCUUACAGUUUCAUUGCUGAAGCAAAACCACCCACUGUGACUAUGCCUCGAAUUAAGGCUUUGAUGACAGGUAGCAUACCUGGUUUCAUUGAUGUUAUCAUGAACCUCAAUUCUCCAGCUCUGUUGGAUGACAAUCUGAUAUGGCAGGCAAAAACAUCUGGGAAAAGAAUAAUCUUCUACGGUGAUGAUACUUGGAUUAAAUUGUUUCCAAAAUAUUUUGUGGAAUAUGAUGGAACAACAUCCUUUUUUGUGUCAGACUUUACAGAGGUUGAUAAUAAUGUUACCAGGCAUUUGGAUAGAGUGUUGAAGAGGGAAGACUGGGAUCUCCUUAUACUGCAUUACCUGGGGCUGGACCAUAUUGGACAUCUGACUGGGCCAAACAGCCCAUUAGUGGGACUAAAACUUAGUGAAAUGGAUAACAUCCUGAAGAAAAUUCAUAUUUCUCUGAUUUCCAAGGAAGAAGCUUCUCUGCCCAAUUUGCUUGUUGUUUGUGGGGAUCAUGGGAUGUCUGAAACAGGUAGUCAUGGUGGUUCUUCAGAAGGAGAAGUACGCACACCGUUGCUGUUUAUCAGCUCUGCUUUUGAAAAGAGAAGUGAUCCUCUGACCCAACCUGAACUUGUGCAACAAACUGAUUUAGCUAGCACACUGGCAGUAGGUCUUGGUCUACCAAUUCCAAGAAACAGUGUUGGAAAACUUAUAUGGCCAGUUGUGGGAGGCAAGACAAUGAGAGAACAACUACGUUUUGUACACUUGAAUGGGUUCCAGCUUAGCAGACUGCUGCAAGAGAAUACACCUGCGUAUGAAAAAGAUCCUGGAUAUGAACAUUUUAAGAUAGCAGAAAAGUCCCAUGGUAAUUGGAUCAAACUGUAUUUAGAGGGGAAUAAUUCAGAAAUACUCUUAAAUUUUGGCAAAAAGGUUCUGAAGCAAUAUUUGGAGGCGUUGAAGACUCUGAGUUCUUCACUAAGCAAACAAGUAGCACAAUAUGAUGUGUAUUCGAUGCUGGUGGGGGCUGUGAUCAUUAUGGAGGUUCUGCUGCUGCUUUUGCUCAGCAUUCCAAAAGCCCUGAGCAGCCAGGCAGAAUUUGAAGUGCCCCUCUCCCCUCCACUAUUCUCUCUACUGUUUUACUUGAUGUGUCUGGUGUUGUGUGCAGUUCAUGUCAUUGUAUGCACAUCAGCAGAAAGUUUGUGCUAUUUCUGUAGUUUGUCCUGGUUAACAGCAGUUGGAGUGAUGAUGCUGAUUUCUGUGCUCAUGUGUGGUAUUUUAUCUACCAUUGCAAGGGUCUUUGAGAAUUCCAGACUUCCACUGAAGAAUCCAGUUGUGUCCAGUUCCAACUGGUCAGAAAUAGAUCUGCUGAUUGUGACUGGAACACUUGUCCAUGUAUUGAGUUUGGGAGCAAGCAGUUUUAUAGAAGAGGAACAUCAAACCUGGUAUUUUCUUAUCAAUACACUUUGUUUGGUGCUGUGUCAGGAACUUUGCAGAAAUAAUUUUCUUCUGAAAGAAUGGGACCCUCAGCAUAGCACCACUGUGAAACAGAAUUUUGAUCGUAUUGGGGAAGUCUCUGAGUGCAAGAAUAUAGACAUUCUAGCCACAAGUAAUUCAAAAUUGGGCAAAACCACCUCUUCAGCUGGAUUCAUAAAAGGCUCAGAUAAAUGGAUAAGCUUAGCAAGUCCAUGGAUCAUCCUUAUUUGCUGUCGGCUACUUCGAUCCUUGAAUCAAACAGGUGUCCAGUGGGCUCAUCGGCCAGACUUUGGACAUUGGUUGACAAGCUCUGAACAUAAAUCUGAACUCUCCUUCUUAGCUGCAGUCUCUCUACUUAUGGUCUUCUUUCUGGUUCAAAGAAGAUGCUCCUUGGUUUCAAAAAUUGCUAUGGCACUUGGGCUCCUGGGAGUCUACAGUUACCGGGCAGCUAUUGGAAAUGUCGUAUUUCCAUGGCAACAUGACAGCCAAGAUAUUUCAAAGGGGAUUACUGAAGCUCGUUUUGUUUAUGUCUUUGUUCUUGGCAUAGUCUUCACUGGCACUAAAGAUAUACUAAAGUCACAGGUUAUUUCUGCAGACUCCAGUGUGAAGAAUACAGGAUUAUGGGAAGUUUAUAGUGGACUGGUUCUGCUAGCAGCCCUUCUAUUUAGACCUCACAACUUACCAGUCUUGGUGUUUUGUCUGCUGAUUCAGACAAUUAUGACAAAAUAUAUCUGGAAACCUUUGAAUUGUGAUGCAACACAGAUUACUAUCAUGCACUACUGGUUUGGCCAAGCUUUCUUUUAUUUUCAGGGAAAUUCAAAUGGCCUUGCUACUGUGGAUGUUACAGCAGGUUUUGUGGGACUAGAAAGCUAUGUGGAAAUACCAGCUGUCUUCCUUACAGCAUUUGCAACUUAUGCAGGACCUUUGCUUUGGGCCAUUCAUUUGUUGUGCUACUUGAGCUCUGAAGACAGCAGAAUUGUUCAAUUAUGACCAAUUCAUGGAAAAUGUACCUGAUGCUUUCCUAACUGCAGUCCUAAUGGUGGGACCUGGAAGGUAUUUUACUGUGUAUCAUUAUUGUCUAUCAUUAUUUUAUUGUUUAUCAAUAACUACUAAGUUAAUGAUAAAAGAUUGCUGAACACUUUGCAAGCCAAAAAGACUCUCAAAAUCCUUCUCUUUGGACUCUCAGAUUACUUCAAAUGUGUCUCUGUUUAGUCCGCAUAUUUGAUGUUCUACCUUAUCCUUGACAUCAAUGCUGUGCAAAAGCUUAAGGCUGAUGCAUCUCUUAAAUUGUAGUGAGGCCUUCAGUACAGGACCUGAGCAACAAUCAUACAUCUGUGCGUUGCCUUCUGCUGCACAAUGAACAUGCUGCAGAAAGAUACCUAGAACUUCGAGAGGUCAGCAGGCCAUCUUCCAGGUUUGGGGAAAGGUGAGCUAACUUCCUCACUUGGGAGAAUGAGGAUUGCUUAGCUAUGUAUCCUGUCGUUUGACAUUGUACCCUCCAGUGAGUUGGGACAAAGAACCUGUUUGCAUCUGAGAGGAGAAAAGAUGGUGUUCCAGGUGAGUUGAGAUGGAUCAGAUGUAAUCUUGUUUGUUCACUUGUUGAAUGAGAUGUCAGUCUCAUGUGCCCAGAUCAAAAUUUAGGUAUUGAGCUUUACACAGGGAUCUUGAAAACUCCCUACAUCAAUGCCACUUUGUCUUAGAGGAGUCUAUCCUCAGAAGAUGCCUUACUUAUGAAUUUUAAAGUUUUCCAUGCACCAAAGUUGUAUUUUAUCCAAUGACUGUUUCAUGGCAAGAGCAUAAUCUGCUCUUGAAGGAGGGACUGGAAGUCACCUUCUAAUGAGUACCAUGCUAAACUGUGGCCCCUUUUUGGGUACUUCUUUUUUUAGCCAGAACAACCUUUAGUUUUCUAGGGAAAGAAAUAGCAAGGUAGGAGUGGAAGGGGAGAGCAGGUGCCCACUCAAACCAGAGUUGUGAUUCUGGGAAAAUGUAUCUUAAGAUCCCCUAAACAAAAAUAUGGGAAUCAGUCUCUGCCCAGGGCUGACCUGUAGCAGAAAAAGAUGUGGUGGGAAGGUAUAGCUCACUUCCAUCAUGACUUCUUCCUUUGGCUGCAUGUUGGGACAAGGAAUAAUCUGGCUUGGUCCUGUCACAGGUAGAGUGAUUUAGGUUUCUACCUCCCACAGAACAAUGUUUAAAUCACUCAAAGAAAAGUGUGACUUCGGAGAGUUUGAUGACAAGGUUCACUGUAUUAUUUAGUGCAUGGAGGAAAUAAACCAAGCAGAAUGCUGCUUACCUUCGCUCCAGCGACCGGAUGUCAGGUUGCUCUGAAGUUUGGAUCCUAGGAUUUAUGAAGCAAACUCUGAGGCGUCAGAGUUCAUAGAAAUAAAUAAUUCAAUGGAGUAGUAUAAUGGGAGGGCUGGCUUGAGCUCAGUGCCUGUGCAGAGGACCCAGCCAAGCAUAGAAAUCUUUGUAUUUUUAUAUAUUCACAGACCAUUAAUCUGCUCCUCACACCAUGAUUUAGUUCAAUAGCAAUAUUUGAGUUUGUGGUCUUCUUAUUGGAUCUUUUUCACUGAUCUCAGAAGGGCCUUUAUUUUGUUUACAUGUAGACAUUUUUUAUAGUCCACAGCCUUGAAGGUGCUGUUUUGUCUGAAUGAAUUGUUUUCUUCCCAACAAAGUACAGAAUAUGCCCUAUCUUGCAGAUGUCCAUAAUGUCUUCGUUUUAACUUUAAAGUCAUCAUUUUCUCCCCAGUCAAUUCUGUUCUUCCCAAUAAAGUGUGAACUAGACCUUUUCUCACAGGUAUUCGGUGUGGUCUGUAGCAGCUUUUGGUAAAUAUGAGCAGAACUUCACACAGCUUACUAAGUAACAUGAAGCAGACAGUAUACUAAAAAUCACAUAACCUUAUAUGACUAGAUGAUUAAUUGUAUUUAGUAUGCAUUUACUUAAGUUAAAUGAUUGAUAUGAAACUUAAAUUGGGCUCAUCCAUUAGUAAAAACCACUGCCAUACAGCCAACUUGUUUAGCAGAGAGAGCUCUAAGUAGGCUCACACAGGCUCUCAUAUUUAUAGAAUAAACCGGUUGACUUGUAGUGAAUUUGCAUACAGUGGGAAAGGUAAGCACAAGACUCCCUGCACCCACAACUUAUCAGUGUACGGUGUGCUGUUCUGCUUCCUAAAAGGAGUUCUUGGCCUGACUGCAGCUUUGGCCUUUACCUUCUUUGGAGUCUGUACUAAACUGCUGCUGGUUUGGCUGGCGGGGGGGACAGAGUGCAUCUGCCACUGGGGUCCUUGGAAGCAAAGACCACCAUCAGCCUGCCUUCAUGGUGUGAGAUUUCUCCCACACAGAUUUGCAGCCUGUAAAGUACUUUCCUGCUGCCUGAGGCCUUGGUGUGGUGAGCUGUGAUUCCUGCCCUGGCUUGGUAACAAAAAUGCUGUCCUAGCUGAUGUUGCACCUCAUCACUCUGAGAGGUCUCUGUCCCUAGCUCAGAUGCUUUGUCUGAUCUUUCCCUAGACUGUUGUUGCAAGUGAUCCCCAUGAAAGCAUAUCCUUUUUCAUUUCAGUCAGGAUCACUGAGAUAUGUAGGUUAGUGAGUGGUGAGCAAUGAAGCCAGCAAAGCUGAAGAAGGACACACUGUCCUUUUUGACCAUGGCAGCAGCUGCUGGGGGGAAUUGACUCUCCAAGGAGGGCCAGGUUCAUUGAAGACACAGCACUGCCCUUGGUGUUUCAUUUGGCUACUAGAUCACCUUCUUCUCAGUCCCCAGCCUAGCUACCAGGUUCCUCAGAGUGAGCCACCCACAGCGUACUUUAUGCUGGCCAAGCCAGCAUGGGUCCAGCAGCACUGCGCCUCCACAUGCACAUUGCAGGGCUGUUCUGGGUGUAGUCUUUGAGUUCCUGCCAGAACUGCAUUUCUUGCUCCCUCAAGGAGCCAGUACUGCAGCCCACCAUCUCGUGUUUUAGAUCCUGACUCGCCUGGUCUGUGUGUGGGGUGUAUUGUGGGGUGAUGAUGAGGUAGCACUGGACUUUUCUUGAGUCCCUGGCACAUUUGUAGACUACUUUUAAGGGACUGCUGAAAGGUAACCUUUUGUCAGGGGACUUAAAUUCACUGUAUAAAGGUCUGCAACACCACUGGAAAUAUUUUAAGGUUUAAAAAGGGUAGAAAUUGUUAGCAAAUAAUGGAAAAAAGGAACUUCAUAAUCAGCCCAUGAAGGCUGCUGGUCCUGCACAUAUUGUGUCCCUAUCAUAGCACUUAUGAAAAAAUUACACUUUUAUCUUGAAGUCUUUGGCUGCCUGUUGAGCCUGAUGGCUUUGAUGGUUAGAAAACUCCCAACUAUUUCAGUGCUAAAAGUAUUUUAUGCCCAGCUUGCACACAUUUGUUCUGUGCCAACUUAAAUGGGUCCUCUUGUUCUUUGAUGUUUACUCUCUGGAUAUAUUUACAGACACCAAACAUACCCCUUUUGAGCUUUCAUUUUUAUAGACUAAGCAGGCCAAAUAUUUUCUCCCUGUUGUUUUUUGUUUUGUGUCUUUGUUUUGUGGGUUAGUGUUUUUGUUUGGUUGGUUUGUGUUUUUUGUGGGUUUUUUUUGUUUGUUCUUUUUUUUUUUUGGGGGGGGGGUGUUUGUUUGUUUGUUUGGGUUGGGUUUUGUGUUUAUUUAUUUUUGUGUUUUAUUUGUAUUAGAAACUCUUUAUACUUUGCAGUUUGAGUUUAUCCUUAGGCACAUAACCAGGACAGUGUGCUGCAUCUUUCAUGGUCUUACCAAGGCCUCGGAUUAUGGUAUUAGAGCUUCCUCAUCUCUAGUGGAAAGUCCUUGCCCAUUUACCCUAGAAUUUGUGAUUGCUUUUUACCCAGGUCCUUCCCACAAGAGGCUAUAUGUGUACAUAGUGCACCUCAUUCUUUGUCCUCCACUGUUGUUCCCAGCUGUGGGGCUGCCAGUUGGUGGCACUGAUGAGCUUUCCCCUUGUUUGAUUUUUUCCCCUCAAUUUCUGCUAUUCCAGUCCCCAAGUUAAUUCAGCUUUUGCCUCUGAUAUUUUGAACCUGCUAUGUGUUUACAACACUGUUGUUCCUUCUGUUCCUCAAAGAACCUUAUUUGUUACUUUCACUCAUUUCACUCUACAACCUGCUGUUGUCUCCUGUCUUCUUCCCCAACUUGUUCUGGUGCCUGGUUCUUACUGUAUUUCAGAAGGGGCAUACAUAUGUUUAAAUUUGUUUAUCUCCUCCAUAUUCCAAAUUUUUGUUAUAUGAUGAUUAUCCCCACCCUCCAGGUUUGCAUCUGCUUGUCCUCCUGUAACACUAGAUUGGAGCUGUCCAUGCAUCUCUGUUUGGGUCUGUGAGGCUUUGUGAGUCCAGGGCCCACCUUGUGUGAGAUUGCUCCCUUAUCUUCAGUAAUUUCAUUUCCAUGGGCUGUCCUGCUUGGCAGGGAAUUCAUCAGGGUGCUCCAAAAUACUUUUUUUUUUCCUUUUUUUUUUUGUCUCUUGAAUGCUGCCUAGUACUUCAAGAUGUUAUUUCCUUAUCUUCCUAUUCACAUAACUACAAGCUCUUCUUGUUAAUUUUUUGAGCAGUAUAGCUGUGCUGGUUUGACUAAAAUGAUUUAAUUUUCCUUCAUACAGUUAGAAGCCAUUCUUUUUCAUAGCUAGCAUGGUCAUUGUUUGGAUUUAAUUUGAGAAAAAGAAGGUAACACCCCAGGACAGAGUUAACAUUUUAAUUGCUGGUGUCUGGGAGCCAAGGACUUUUUCUGAGCUCUCUACCCAGAGGUGUGAGUUAGCUAGUAAGGGGGGCAUGGAUGAGACAGACCUUGAGAGACAUCCAGAUUGAUCAAUAAGAAUAUUCCAUGCCGUUAGCGUCAUGGUUCAUAUUUGAGGAGAGUCAAGAUCUUCGGCCAGGUUCAAAGUCAGGAUGGACAGGGAUGGAGACCUGUUCAGGAAAGUUCUGUUCAGGAGUUUCUCUAGUUUGGCUUUUUGACAUAUUGCCAUUUUGCAGAGGCCUCUGGGCCUUUCUGCCUUUUUCUCUUCUCUCUCCAGGAUCAGCUGUUGGGACCAGGGUGCUGCUUCCCAGGACUGGCUGCUCCAUGCAGAUGGAGUUUGUGAGGAAUUGCAUUGAGUAUCUUUUAUUUUAUACUCUAUUUCAAUUUUACAUAUACUAUUAGUAGUAAUAGUAAUAUAUUAGUGUUAUUUUAUUGAACUAUGUUUAUCUCAGUCCACAAGUUUCUCCCUUCCCUUUUAAUUUACUUCUCCAUUCAGGAGUGAGAGUGAGCAGCUAUUGUGAUUACAUUGCUGGCUCAGGUUAAACCACAAUAGUAGCUCUGCUUGACUCAGUUAUUCACACUUUGCUCUCCAACUCUUAACCAUAUUUCUGGGUGAGGUUUUUCUACAUUCUUGCUCUUGUGCUUCCAUGUGUUUCAUUUCACCCUCUUCUCUAAAUCAUGAGGUGCUCCUGGCUAACUGCCAGCUCUUGUCUUCAGAAUUUUUUCUCUGGUGAUGGAUCUUACAUUUUUUUUUUUUAAUUUUUUUUUUUUACAGAAUCCUCUGAUGUGUAAAUCUGCCCCUCCUUGGUUUAGAGAUAGAUGUCUUGUUCACUUAUAAUUCUUCUGUCUUUCUGUUUUGGUAUUUCCUUCAUACAGCCUCUCUUUCUUUCUCCUGCUACGCUUGCUGCUCCUUUCUUCCUGGCCACCCCAUCUCGUUCUCCUGCUUAAUUCUCCUUCCCAUUACCUGGGGACAAACAGUACCUCAACUCUAGUGGGAGUCUUUCUUUGCUGCAAUUAUUUUGCCAUGUGCGUUGACCAGAGCUAAAGCUUCUUUCCUUUCUUUUCUUCUGGUAUGGCUGCAUAUUCCUAUUUGAAUUUGAGCUGCUUUUCUCAGGGAAUUUUUUUUUUUCCCACAGGAAAGCUGUAAAGGAUGCUCAGCAUGCCUCAUCUUUCUCUUUUGCUGUUGAUAUCUAUGAUUUUUUCAAGUCUUCCCAUCACUGUCAUAAUUUCAGACUUUUAUUUCCUGCCUUCAUCUUAAAAGAAUUUAAUAACUUCCCACUGCACUGACAACUUAUUGUUUUCUGUUUGCUGGAUCCUUUCAUUGCUGCCUGUUGACUAUCUAAAUUCUUGACUCAGUUAUCAAGCUAUAUAUAUUUUUUUUCUUCAAUUACUAUCUCUUCGUAGUAUCUCGUGUCAGAACCUCUUUUGUGGCUUGCCUUAGAGAACAGACUAGUGUGAAAAAUGAGUGAAAGUGUUGCCUUUUUUUUGUUUUUUGUAUUAACACUGGGUUAUUAUUACUGCCUGUCUUGUGCUCAAGUCCAGGACACCAACAUUUAUAUCAAAAGCUUUGUAGCUAUGUGCUCUCAACUCUUAGAAGAUUUGGAUUUGCUGUUUGCUAUUACUUGAAGGAUAUUCAAACUAUAUAUGUCUGUUCCUGGCGACUUGGUGAUACUAAACUUUGAACUAGAAUGGGGAAAGAAUAUAAAUCAAUAGAAACUGUUUAAGCAACAUCUCAGUGUGCUUGAAUUUCAUUUUUUUCCCUAGAUCUAAUCCUAUUGUCUUUCAACAUGGGACUGUGUUGUAAGUGAACUAUUCUUGCUAUCAUUUGGUAGGCAGUAGUCUUCUCUGAUGGCGAUAAACCUGGACAAAGUUGCAGGUUUCGAAAGUGGAAUGCUGUACGGUAGUUCUUUUUUCUUCGGCAGGAGAAAACGCAUCUGCAAUCUUGGAACUGACAGCCAGGGAAGACCAACUGAUGUGAGUCCAUCAUGUACACUGACUGUGCCUUGAAGGUGAAUGAUUCAUUCUAAGUGCAUGAAACCCAUCAUGAAACCCAUUUCCUAUUGGACUCACAGGUGACUGAACACUUGAACGUAGGAGAUGUUGGUACUCCAUCAAUAUAGACUGCUGUAAGGGGCUCUGAAGUUGCCCCCUGCCCUUACCAGCUUCUUAGGCAGGUCUUGAGCUAAUUUGUCUCAAGUGAGCUCUCAAGUGAGCAAGGUGGGCUGAAAAUCCUAAAAAACCUCAGUUAUCUCUGACUCAUUACUGGGAGUGUGGGGUGACCCCCCUUUCCCCUGAUAAGUCUCCCACUAAAACAGAAUCCUAUUCUGUAUCCCACUGUUACCAUUUUGAAAAAGAAUGUCUUUGGGUGAUGGGUUCCAUUUUUUUCUUUUUCCACUUCUUCUAAGCCCUCCCUGACAAACACUGCCUUCUUUGAGCCUGAGAAAUCUUCCUUGGCAGUCGAAGGCCAGGUGGCUGUGCUCAGAUACAUCAUUUUCCUGAUGCAGCACAUCAGGCAGUGGUUUUGUGAGGCAUCUGGACCUGACUAUAGGUCAUCAGUCACAUCCCCCUUAGAGAUCUAGAGCAGGACUGACUUGCUGACAGAGACAGGGUAGUGUUUCUUGGCCUUUUUGCUCAGUAGGUCUCACUGGUAGUGACACUUUCUGUUAGCUUGGGAGGACUGCAGAUUCCAGACUGCCUGUGUGUGCAGAGGGUUUGUGCUAAGGGAGCUGGGUCUCUUUAGCUUGGAGGAGACUGAGGGAUUCUCAGUGACAACCAAUGAUAAGACAAGGGGCAAUGAGUACAAACUGAAACACAGGAGGUUCCACUUAAAUAUGAGAAGAAACUUCUUCAUGGUGAGGGUGACAGAGCACUGGAACAGGCUGCACAGAGAGAUUGUGGAGUCUCCUUCUCUGGAGACAUUCAAAACCCGCCUGGACACAUUCCCGUGUAACCUGAUCUAGGUGUUCCUGUUGCAGCAGGGGGAUCAGACUGGAUGAUCUUUCCAGGUCCCUUCCAAUCCCUAACAUUCUGUGAUUCUGUGAUCCGUGAUUCUGUGACAGCCAGGUGGCUGGGCCUGUGUGCUCUCCAUGGGACAUGGCUGGACAGAGGAAGGUGACAGGUGUCUUUCAGCGAGUGAGUGUGGGGGAGAAGGGAGUCCAGUGCAGCCCCUCACAGGUGUUCUCAGAGGGAUGGUGUGAGCAGUCUCUAGUGUUCAGCAGUUGGCAUUGUCUGCUUUUGGUUUUGUGCAAGUCUAGUAUGUUUUUUCUUUAAAUCUUCAUCAUAGUGUUCCAUAUUAUAUGUGCUGUUUGUAGCUAUUAACCAUACUUGUUUUGAGAUAACUCUCUGCAAUAUGGCACAUACAUAAUAAGGUAUAAUUAACUCAAAUGAACCAUGUUAAGUUUUGCAACACUUCUCCUGCCAUGUUCUGAAGCUGACUUUAAUAGGUUUUGUGACUAAAAAAUCCACGUUUGCAGGUUCAGGUUAUAGAAACUCAUUCAUGUUCCAGGUGUUCCCUUUUUCAUUUCAGUACUGUGCCUUUGAAUUCAAUAAUUUGUUGUUCAGUUGUCUGCAUAAUUAAUUUGCAACCUGGAGGACUCUCUCCCUCUGAGUACAAGAUCCUCAGAGUGCAUCUUUGGUGCUCUUCACAUGAUGCUUCUGGGGAGCUGCUGAUCAUGAUGGCAUCUCAGUGCCCCAUUUACAAGCUCCUUACCUUGCCAAAGCUAGUUAGAUGAGUAAAUGCAAUGUUUGACAAAGGCCUGAGUACCACAUAUGGUGAAUAACACUUCACCUUGUUUAUUUAAAGACUGAGCCAAAAUUUCGAUUUUUAUUCUUUUUAAAAUCUGCUUCCCCCUACUUUUUCCUUUUAGUGUUAAUUUUGUUGUUGCUUUUGUUGUUCCUUUUGGAAAGUGCUCUGCAGUGUCAUGCAUUAAGAAGUCAUAUAAAACAGGUGACUGAUUGAAAGACAGUUUGGCAAUAAAAGAAAGAUGCUAAUGCCAUUUAUGUGUGUGGAGCAUACUGUGGCAUAUUGCAGCACUCUGGUGCCCAGCACCCUGCUUCUCUGAUGAAGGAAAAUGGUCAUCUUCAUUUGCAACUAAGCGUAGCAUUUGAAGGUGGCUCUUGGUCCUCUAAAUGAUGGCUAACACAUUUCUAAGCAUAUUGUCUCCUAAAGAACAGCUGGAAACAGCAAGACUGCUAGUGUAUAUUGCCAGGUCUAGCCCGUGUUCCAGUUCAGGAAAAACAGAAAGUGUAUGCACAGUAGAUGCCAAAAAUGCUGACACUGGCACAGAAAGGUCUCUCAGUUGUUCUCAACACAAAGAAGUUUCUUGAUAUCUAUGAAACAGUUCAUCGUUUCUGAGUUUUUCAAGACUGCAUGGCUAUUAAUUUCUUCAGGUUAUAAUGAAGCCUGUCACUGAUUUUAAUGGCCUUGGAUCAGACAGGCAUUGGUUUUUAUAUUUUUCAACUACAGUGUUAAUUAACUUAGCAUGCAGAUUUAACUAUGAAGCUUUGAGUUUUCAUUUAGUUUUUAUAAUUUAAUUGUGGAAACGUGGCAGUAAAUGUAGAUGAGAAAUUAUGUGCAAUUAAUAUUGACCCAGGACUACUCAAAUGUCAGACACUUGUCUCUGAUGACUCGCUAGGAAAUCCAAUGUGUUAAAUAUUGAUUUUGUAACAUGGGGUUUUCAAACAACUUUGAUACUGAGCUAUUCUUCCUGAAGCCAUAUUCUUCCUCAAGUCAGGACUGUGUGAAACCUUGAUGUCUGCAAGAGCCAAUGCUGAAAGUCAGAAAAUCCUGUCACUUGGUGAUGCUAGCAGUCAUGUUAUCUCCUGCAACUUUUUUUUUUAAAUGCUGAAACUACAAAUAGUCAGAAUUAGCCUUGGUGUGGGUAUGUGUGUGUGAGGUCAGGUAGGGGUUUGUUUUCAUGGUUUUUAAAGGAAUAUAGUGUAGACCUGUUGAUAAAUAGCUCACAGGAAGUUAGGGGUAUGUAUUAUUAUUAUCACAGCAGUUCUUAUGCCUUUGCCUGUCCACACAAUUGGGGAAGGGGAAUUAGUUUCGAUGCUGACUUUGUCCUUGGCAUAGCCCACAGAGUGGACCACAGGCUGACUCCAUCUGUUUUAGAGAAGUGACUCAAAGAAGUGUUGAGAUUUGUACUCUAAGUGGCAAAGACAGACAUUGAAGAAGUGAGUAACCUGUUCUUUUGUCUGCUGGUGAGAUUAGUAGUCGCAUGUUUAAAGUAAAACUUUUUAGCUGUGUGGAUACUGAACUGGGGAACACGAAGCUUGACAGACUAUGGGAAUGACAUUAUUGGAAGUGUCCAAUAAGAGAUUGGGCAAGCAACCGUUACAGGUCAUUCAGGCAGAGCUGGUCCUGCUGUGGUGCCUCUUUAGCCUGAUUUUCUGAGUGGAUGGCACACUGCAAUGCUUUUUAUUAUAGCUGAUGUUUAAUAUUUCAAGGAAUGAAAAGUCUCUGCUCUGCUGCGGCCUGGUGAGGAUGGAAGAGGAAUUCUCUUGACUAUGGGCAUUCUCAGACCUUUCGGAUGGCCCAUCACCUGUGAAUCUGCACAUGAUGCUUAAUAUAUUACCCUGUGGAAACUAAGAGGGAGAGCACAAAACUGUCUCUUGUUCUGUACUUGAAAUGUGAAGUUUAAAAACCCUCUAGUUACUAAUAUAUGUGUAGCUACAAAUGUCACUAAUAGCCCAGGCAAAGAGGCAGAAAAAAUGAAGAAAAUGAAGUUCCUGAAAUAGCUGCUAUGUUUGAAUUAGAGGUAAUGAGGAUUGUGCAGGCUUUAGAUCUUUAGAUUCACCACUCAGCAAAAUGGGAGCAAGCAAGGAUGACAGAUUGGAGGGAUGUUUGUGCCUUGCAAACUGCAGGGGUUCAUUUAGUUGAAAGAUGCUGUUAGUGUUCUAGGGCAGCAAAACUUGUUUAUUUAAAAACAGAACACAGAGACAGUGUUAAAAACAUUUCAGCUAUCAAAAGGGAGAGAGAUGAUAAAUUGCACAGAUAGACUGCUGAAUUGCAUAUUAAAGGCACAACUGCAUGGGCAAGCUCAGGAAUGGCUCUUCGCUGGCAUAUUUGGAACAUAUUUCUCAGAUUUGUUGCGCAUCAUGGUCUGCACAAGACUUGGAAGUUUGACUGCUACUUCAUGCUUCCUUUCUGGCUCACCUGAAACUCCAUUAUUCACGACACUUCAAUCUUUGGCCUGUCUUGGGAAGCUCCAUAUUGCAGACAAUAAAAUACAUAGCAUGUUGUGCAGAGUGUAGGAUGGGUAAGGAAACAGAAGUCAGUGCUGUCCCAUUACUAAAUGGUGUCUCUCCCAUGACUCCCUGUCCUAUGCACUUGAAGGCUGUUCUGCUGCAUGAAUGGACAUGUCUCCAAUAUACAGCCCCCUCAUUCCUCCCUACUCAUGCAUUUCAUGUGCCAUGUAACUCAGCCUUGGAGGACAGAGCACUGCAGAGCAGCAGAAUGUCUAUACCUGAGCAAUUGUUAGAUGCAGGACUCCCACAGGUGCUCUGCAUUUCCACAGCCUCACACCUUUCCCAUUGUAUGUAGCCUUUCAGAAAAGAGGGGGGAACAUGUCAUCCCUUCUUCCCCUACUCCCUGCCUCACUUUUGAAAGCAACAGCAUUUGGAGCAGAGUGAUAUCUGAGCCUACAGCUUAUUGCAAUUUUCAGUGCAUUGUCUCUCCCUGUGAAGAGCUGAGAAGCUAAGUUAGGAAAAUAGCCACUAUCUGCUGCUCCAACUUCUCCUGGAAAAGCUCCAUGUUGUUCUAUGAGGGGAGAAGCAUUGGCCUCAGACUGCUGUUUGUUACACAUAGAAGAAAAUAACCAGUUGCCUGGGAUCAUUCUGGUGGAACGGUUUGUAACACACGUGCGCACUGUAGCUGCUUCACCUGCUUCAGAGCAUCUGACUGUGUUGCAUUAUGUGUACUGGCUUAGAGGGAUUUCCCUUGAUGGAACAUAAAAGUUCAUUUGCAGUCCAUCACCUUAUGUAAAAGUUUGAACUGUUUUUGUUCAAGUGCGUUGCCAUACAUAGUUAGGCUAGCUAAAUUUAAUGCACACUCUGCUGAAUCCACCACUUUGCUACAUCCAGUGAGAGGGUAUCAAGGUCCCUCUGAAGCUUUCAGGGACUGCAGGGGUGCAGAGUGCUCUGUGAACACAGCCAUAUUGCUUGUGCAUCCAUAUCUCAGCAGGAAAACUGCUAAUUUGUGCAUGGCGUAAUUCCCACUUUUUAGAAGUUACCAAAAAUGUAGCAAAAGUCUAAGUUAGGAACUACUGUUCAGAUUUAGUGUGUAUUGAAAUAGACUAGGGUAUAUCCUUAGAGACUGCAGUCAUUAAAACCUUCAAGAUGUAAGUGUAUUCAGUUUUAUCUUUGCUAUUAUACAGAACUAAAGCUGCACACAUCUCUGCCUUUUCUUCUUUAUCCUCUACUCCACUUCAUGCUCUUGUCCAUUUUGCUGUGCCUUGAUUCCUGGGUCUGUUUUGUCAGUUUCCCAAAGAGUCACCUCAUGGUCAAAAGACCAAAGAGUCUUUUCCCAUGAAAAUUCCUAAAGCUGAUUCAGUCUCCCUGAGGUUAUCUGCCAGGCUUCUGGACAUACUUAUUUAAUUAGGGCUGCUGGAUGCUUGGAACAUUUCCUCUUUCUUAUUUCCCUUCCCUAAUCUCUGUUCUUAAAGUGCAAUGGCCUGACUAGAAAAACCAUCCUUCUAUUUUGGGAAGGAGCUUUGCAUGUUUGUAUUUCUUCUGUGCCGUAAAUCUCUCAGAAGAAGAAUGGGAAUGCCUAAAUGAUCUAGGCUUUGAGGUUUAAAAUUUGCUUUUAUUACACUGGAUUUGUUACUAGAGUUGUCUUCUUGUAAAAGUUUUAUAUGAAUUAAUUUGUUGCUCCCUGCUGUGUCCCAGGACACUUUGAAAAUAAGACUUUUUUUCAAGAGUUUUAUUCUGCUAUGAAUAUUUAUAUACAUCAAGUUGCAGUAAACCCAAACAAUUUUCACAUUAGCAAUGCAAUCUGCAGUUUCUCCUGUGCCUGUGUCAGUGACAUCAUGCAGUUGAAGUAGGGGAAAAGAAAAAAGGUUUCAAAAAAGAAGACUCAAGAUUAACAUCAUGGACUCUAAUAAAAGUCUUGAAAUUAGCCCUUUCAUCAUACCAUAUUUAUUGUUUUAAUUUACUUUGGUGGCAUUCAGUAUUGGUGAAUGAGGUAUGGUUGUCUUUGCAUAUUACAUGCAUAAGUAGAAGGUAAAAGGAUUUAACAGAGCCCCUUCAUAUGAGGAGCACCUGAACCAGCCCAUGACCCUGAGUGAGAUUAGGUGAAAGUAUCACUAAAGGGCUUCCAGGUGAGACUCUCUAAAUAUUGAUGUACACCUGGGUUUAGAGAGGUGUGUGUUCAACAAAGGAACUAACGUGAGGCUUCACUUCAGGAAGAGUGCAGAGUUUAGAGGAGCCUUUUGGAUAUGCACCUUUUUGUUGGAGAAAAGCCGCUAUAGCUUUGGCAGCUGGAACAAGGAGUUUGCAGUGGUCUUUGCUCUUCAUGUCUCUAGCUGGGCUGAGCAGACCACUGGCAUAAGUAAAACUCUGAGUCUGUGUUUCCUAACAGUGGAAUGCUUGUGGAUGACAACAGACACUGGUGCUAAUACUGAAGGUCUGCAUGUGCCCAGCUUUGUUGAGGCUGCAGGGAAGUCAACAGCUUUCUCUGCUGGUCUUCUGCACCUGGAAAAUACCUACCAUCUUCCUGAGUCAGUGCUGCAGGGGAUGCAGAGGUGGGGUGUGUCUGUCAAGGUAAUUUUAGGGGAAGAGACAGCGGAAUGGUGGGCAAGGCAAAUGAAGGAAACAAGCCAUGGCAUUAAUGGGGCAAGAAGGCAAUAGCCACCAGUCAUCCGUGGCACUGAUGAAGGUGGCACCAUAACUGAGCCAACAAAACUAUCCUGACUAGCUUGGAUGCUGGUCACCAACUAACUAAUGUCUUGUUCCCAUUCCAUUAAGGCAGACCAGCACAGCUGGAGAUAUAGCAACUCCAUGUGGGCAAAGAAAGCACGUAGUUUUCCUGACGAGCUCCACAGGGCAAAUAGAGGCUGGUUGUGUAUUUUCUGUAUUUCAAAAAGGUUAUAGUAGUGUGGCUAUUAGACUGCUGAUGCUUUUGCUUGGGUGUGGGUCUUGACACAUGUGUUUCCACAGCAGGAUGUCCAUUUCUGUCCUGUUAGUGUGUAAAUCACUGAAGCAUCAGAACUUUGUGGUGACCAAAGAACAGGGCUGAUAUCAAUUACAUGUGGAUCUUCACUUCCUCUGUCCUCUGAUGGGGAGAUCUCUGUGGUGGCUUAUUACAUGGCUGGUGUUCUAUGUGCUGUUUCCUCUCCAGUGAACUCUGGCAGUGGAGAUGGAGUUUAUAAAAAGGAUAGCAUCUUUUCCCCUGUUGUUUGUCUCACACUGUGCCCAUUUGUAAGUAUUUAGCAUUGACAGGCUCUACAGAUGUACCAUUGUUUUCUUUAGAUGGAAUACCGCAGUCACACAAAUGUCAAAACUUCACGCUUGCUGUCUCUGUGUUGCAGAAGCCUUCCUGCCACAGUAGUGAUUAUGUGUAGAGUGGUGGUGUCUCAUCUCCAGAACUGCCUCUCCUCAAAAGCCAGGGCAGACUAGCAACAUUAUGGAGCAGAGCAGGCGUUCCCCAAGAACAUUUUCAGUUUUGUUUCCCUUUCAGUGAAAGGAUAUACUAGUGGCCCUGUGAAGCUCACGUCUUUUUUUAUUCAUUUUACUUGUUCACACAGGCACUGUGAUAGCAGUCACUGAAUUAAGCACUCUCAUUGAUAAGUGUACUCAACUUGCAGGGUGAAUGUUGUCCAUUUCAGGGCCAGUGCAAAUAGUAGGAAUAAUAGUAGGAUUUUUUUCAAUGAUCCAAUUGGUCCUUUUUUCCUGGACCUUAUGUCUGUGUCACAUGUGUCAUGGCCCAGGGAGUUUCCAGCACAAUUUAGAGCUACAAUGCCUGGUGCUGGCCAGGCGAUGGCGUUGGCAUGAGUGAUGUACUAUGACACUUUCCGUCUCAGAUUGUGUUCCCUAGUAGGAGUCCAAGUGGGAUUAGGAACUGAAAUAAGAGGUGAACAAGGGAUGUGAUAAAAAGAGCGAAAAAACUGUACUGAGGGGAGCUGGGGAUGCAGAGAGGGUAUGAGGUAGGGAAAGGCAGGCAGUUUAGCUAAGAAAUGUUGCCACUGAGAAUGGCAGGCACCUGGUAUAGUAUGUAGUGGUAAACAGAGGGUGCCGGAAGACUGACUUUAUGUGUGUGGAAAGAGAAGGUACCUGAGCUCAGUGCUGGUCCAUCCAUUUAUAAUCAGAAUAAGCUGUUUGCUAGGUCUGCUUUUCCAGGCUCAUGAAGGUACUCAGGAGCUGGUGCUGGCCAGAGAAAGGAGCAGAUCUGGACCUGGUGCUGCAGGUUCAGUAAUGGCAGAGUGCCUUGAUGGCUGUCCUGGACUUUCAGCUGCAGAUAAUGUUCUGUCAUUUUCAAUUUGGAGACUAUUAUAAAAGAGUGGAAAUUCACCCCCACACACCCUGCCCCUAGCUCCACAUUUGAUGAUUCCUUGCUCUGUGUGCAAAAGCAGACUGGGUCUCGCCGAAGGGGAAGGCAGGUAGCAGUAUUUUUUAGAUCAAGCCCAGCAAAUGGGAAGAGAGCAGCUGAAGAGCUGUUUGGCAAUGCAGGCUGUGGUAAGGAUCUACACCAGCAGGUACAUCUGCAGAACAGAAAUGAGGGGAACACCAUGAGAUCGCUGUCCAGAAGUUGAAAGGAAAAUCACGGUGCACUGAGUUGAGAGCAAAGAGCAGAACAAGCAAAACUGCCAUAGGGAAAGCCCUAGUUCAGUUCUCAGGUCAUUGUAGAGAGGAAACAAACUGGAGGUCCUUCAGAGGGGAGCUGCAAAAAUGAAGAGUUUGUGAAACAGGAGAAGAGCUCAGGCAGUCAGAUGUGCUCAGUCAGGGGAGAAAGGCAAGAAAAUCGGUGUUUACCAAUGCAUAAAAGGCUGCUGCAAAGAUAAAAGGGUUAGACCAAUUAUUUUCAGUCAUUGACGAAGACUAUUCAAAGAAAAUGGAUUUUGAGGCCCAGCGAGGAAAAUAAUUUCAAUACUCCAGUGAAACUUGUAACCUGCUGAAUUUUAAUUCUCUUGAAGCAGAAGAAAAGGAUUUCAGUGGGCAUGGGAUCAGCAGUGUAACCAAGAAUACAGCUGGCAGUCAGGGCCAGUUAUGAAGUAGCCAGUGGACCCACUAUUCAGAUUAGAGAGCUUGCAGGGAAAAGCCAAAAUAUGCUGCUGUUUGAAGAGAUGCUUUCCUCAUGCUGAUCCUAGCAAAGCCCCAAAUCUCAGCCCUUGCCCUUCCAGGAGAAGGUACCGUUGCUAGAGGUACAGAAUGGCUUUUUUAAAAUGGGGAAGAAGUCAGCUUUGCUUUUAUUUUUGUGAUUGGAUAAUAACUAAUAGAGAGUAUGGUGAUAUGUACUUUAGUCCAGUUUUAUGAAUGCAGUAGCUACACCUCGUCACUCUACGGAUUUGCACUAUGCAUGUCCCUGUGCAGAUCAGUCAAACAACAUGAAGUGCUGAAAGGGAGUUGUCUGCAGAAUAUUUUUAACCUGGUAUAUACUUUUCCCAGAAAUGCCAAAUUAUGUAGGGGGAUAGUAGUAGACUAAGGUCUUGGACUGCAGCACUGAAGUUCAGGAUCCACCAGGGUGCUCUAUGUGCAUCCUCUUCCUUCUCACACUCUGGUGAAUACAGUAAAAUAACGGCGCAAAACUUCUGAAGGCAAAUGGACCUGAACUGCCAAACCAAGAUGUAACACCUAACACCUCUGGAUCAUAGAAUCAUAGAAUAGCUUGGGUUGGAAGGGACCUUCAAAGGUCAUGUAGUCCAACUCCCUGCAAUGCGCAGGGACAUUUUCAACUAGAUCAGGUUCCUCAGAGCCCUGUCCAUCGUGGCCUUGAAUGUCUCCAGGCGUGGGGCAUCUGCCACCUCUCUGGGAAACCUGUGCCAGUGCCUCACCACCCUCAUUAUGAAAAAUGUAUUUGUCAUAUCCAUCUCUUUCUUUCACCCAGAUUACAGUGGGCUGUGGAUCUCCUUGGGCAGCACAGGCAAUGGCAACUUCCUGACCUGUCUCCGCCACCAUGUCUUGGGGGGGAUGAAGGAACACAGCUAUCACUUGUGGGGGCACUGACAGCUGUACCUGGAGGAUGCACUGGGCUGACUCCAGCUGUAUGAAUGCAAAUUCCAGACACACAGAGAAAGUCAGCAGUAAAAGCAAGUUAUAAGUGGUAAAUCUAAAUGAAAGAUUCGAUUAAUCCUCACCUAUUUAUCUUAGUAACUUCUGCUGAAUCGUCUGUGACAAAAAUGCUGGAAUAUUAAACCAGGACUAUGAUGCAAAAUGCAUUUCCUGUCUCUAAUGAGUACAAUUUCAAGCUAGAUUCUGGCAUUCUUGCAUAUGUUCAGUAAUAAUUUUCCAUUUGCUUGCUAAGGGACAGAUUAGUGUCUGGCAAAAUAUUAUGGAAAAUUUACAAUCUGGUUUUGCUCAUAUGUAACUCUAGCCCCAUCUUAAUUUUUUUGCAUGCACUGUAAUUUAUUCUCGAAUAUUGUGUUAGCCCUGCUGACAUGUCAAACUAGAUACAUAAGACCAUUUUCAUAUGCUCUUUGUUCCAUCAAGUACUUGAUCUAGUGCUUGAAAUUUCUUACCUGUGUUUGUGCUACUCUGGAUGGUCAGUUGUAUUGUUUUUUGUCUCCUUGUGGGGAACAAGAUUGUGAAAGCACAGGGGAAAACACACCUCUCAAACAGAAAAGGCUGAAGGCUUAAGAGAAAUGUGUGCUUUUGGACAGCGGGGCUUUCAGUGGGAUUACAUGGUAUAAUAAUGCAUGACUCUAAGCAAAGACAGUGACUGCAAGAGAUUAAACAAUUUUACCCACCCAUGUGAGAAGCCCUAAUAAGGACCAUAUCAUCAUGAACUCAACUAAUUUUUCCUGCCUGGCACCUUCCAAUUAUAUCCUGCUUGAUUUAUUUGUUUAGUGAUGAAUUUAUCUUCGAAAUCAUAGAAUUGUAGAAUUCUUUUGGUUGGAAAAUACCUUUAAAAUAAUCUUUUCCAAUCAUUAACCUAACACUGCCAAGUCCACCUCUAAACCAUGUCCCUAAGUGCCUCAUCUAUGCAUCUUUUAAACACCUCUAGGGAUGAUGACUCAACCACUUCCCUGGGCAGCCUGUUCCAAUGCCUGACAACCCUUUCUGUGAAGUUUUUCCUAAUAUCCAAUCUGAACCAGCCCUGGUGCAAUUUGAGGCCAUUUCCUCUUGUGCUAUCACUUGCUACUUGGGAAAAGAGACUGACCCCCACCUCGCUACAACCUCUUUUUGAGUAGUUGUAGAGAGUGAUAAGGUCUCCCCUGAACCUCCUUUUCUCCAGACUAAACAAUCCCAGUUCCCUCAGCUGCUCCUCAUCAGACUGCUCCUCCUCCAGACAGUUCACCAGCUGUAUUGCCUUCAGGGGAACAUUUAAAUUCUCUUUGAUAAGUUGUAUUAAGUAUCUUUGGUUUGAGGAGGCUGAUUUUAGGGAAAUCAUCCCUUUCUCCUCCCCAUAGACUCCUGUCAAGCUGGGAACUUCCUGUGAUCCCAACAAACAGCUUUGAAUCAUUCUUAUGAGGAGACACCCCUAUUUAUAAAAAAAAAAAAUUCUCUGACCUUGUCCAAAAGCAACUGGCAAGGAUGAGCAAAACGUAAGCGUACUUGUGUAUGCGUGAAGGGAAGUGUCAUGAUGAUGGAGCCAGCAACAGUCCUAAUACCAGUCUUAAGGACAUGAAAUACAUUUUCAGAGUUGGGGAUAAAUGCACUUGUUCGCAAUACCUCAAAGGAUGUUCAUGGGCAAGUGCUCUGUUUUGAGGCAUGGAGCCCUAUGGAGAAUGUGGUGCCUGAGGGGAAGCCCUAGGCUACUCACCUGACAGUUGCAUUCGUCCUGGUAUGUGGCGGAUAAGCAGGCACAGGAAGAGCAGUGGCCAAUACUUUUCUUGCAGGGCCAUGUGUCCUGGGCAAGACUGACAAGGCAAGGAGCAAUUCUUGUCACAUUUCAAGAGGGGUAUGAGUGAACUUCCCAGGUAGGAAGUAGCACACAACUGUCUGGCUUUUUUGGUACUUUCUGUGCUCUCAUAGCCUCUGUGCAGAGAUACAGCUGCAUUUCUGUCACUUUUUUUUCACCCCAUCUAACUCCUUGUAGUGUAGAAGUGGGGAGAGGUUAUGCUUUCUCCAUUUAUUUUAAUGGAAGAAAGAGAUAAGGAACAUAUUGGUUUGUCACUACCUGGUGUCCCUUUACCCGUGGAUUCUGGUCAUUUUUGUAAUAUCAUGUUCUUUGGUUUCACAGUUUUUGAACACUGCCAUCAUUAUGGAGUACCACCAGCAACUUAUCUUUCUACACCAGAGCAACCUGAGUACUUGGGCUUGUAACUAUCAUCCAUUUCACCAGUAUGACAGCUAGAAAGGUUAUUUGUCCAAAGACCCAUGAAACAUGCAUGACAGGAGGAGCAUAAAUCUGUGCUGGUCUUUGAAUUACUAAGUCACUGUAUAAUCAAUUAAACUUCUCCUAGGUGAGGUCCUUACCCUGUUUAUUUUGGUUUAGCCAUAUAUAAAACCUUGUAUCACAUCAGUAAUUUUCAGUUGUGAUGCAUAGCAGCUUUUGAGCCUGCCUGCCUUAGUUUUUUUCAGACACAUGGGAAAAAUCCUGCCACUUCUAGAUUUGCUAUGAAGUUGAGCAACAUACAGAUGAAGUGAAGAUCAUGUUUUGAUGCUGAAUACAGUGCUUGGGAAUAACUGUCUGGCCACCUUGACUGAAAUGCUGCCCUGUGCAAGGGCACACAGGCUGGAGAUGAGAGGUGAGGACUCCAGCCUGUGGUCAUUGUGGGUGGGUGGAUGCUGGGGUCCACACUGCAUUAAUGCCUAUGUACUAUGGUGGUAUGAAAAUCACUUGCCAGCUAACGAGCACACUGGAGGACAGAGUGUGUGAAAGCAGUGCUUGCUCUUUGGUGGUAUCCCUCUGGUGUCUUACUACUCAAGCACUCCCUUGGUAAUUAAAGCAAUUACAAUGGAAAGUGCCAGAUUGUCUGUACUGGUAUUAAAAGAAUAGGGAGGAAAAUGUUCUGGGGAAGGGCCAGGUCACUGUGGUAUGUGUUUCCCAACAGGAUUUCUCAGGUGGUAUAUGGGAUUCAGAACACACGCCAGCCUCUGGCAAUUCUGCUGUUUUUCAUUAAGUCCUGACUUUGUCUGAAAUUGCUGAGUACCCAACCCCCAUUCUGUAGAACUGGGUCCCUGCUGUCAGCAGACUGUGUGGGUGGUGUGGGUCCUUGAUAGAGUGCUAGUAUGCUGAGAGGAAUUUUCCAGGAGGGGCGAGGCAGGUGGAGGUCAAGCGCAGGCUGGUAACAACUGGUGUUGCUGGUGGAGGCUGUGUUGUGAUGUCCUGUGAGAAGAAAAACGUCACUUCCUUCCAUUUGGAAGUUUUCUUUACAGGACUAGGUGGUGUGCUAGGUUCUUGGUGACAGUAAUUAGGGGAAUCGGUGCAGGCAUACACUGACUGGAUAUAAACUAAUGCUCUAAAAAGCCUUGUUAGUUAAGGAGGUCUGACUGGAGUUCAGCACAGCUUGUGACACAGAAUUGCUGGGGGGAUGUUUUACCUUGAUUACUGGAGACUGUAUUUGCCUGUCUGUUAAUCCAGCUGAACUUGCUUGGUUUAACAAAGAGUUUAAAGCAGUAAGUUCUCAGUUUCUAGCAGUGCAAUUUUCAUUCUUUGAACUUAUUGCAGACUCAUCCGGUCAUGCUUCUGAGGAAAGCGAAGCUGUUUCAUGACAUCCUGCUUCACUGGGGUACAAACACUUAAACACUUGGAUCGACAUUUUCUGUUUUCCUAGCGUUGUUGUAGCUAUGAUGUUCUGAGGACACAAGGCAAGGUUUUGAGCAUGAGUACUAAGUUUUACUAAUUAGCCAGUGUAAUAUAUGAAACAAACUAUAUUUCUGGCUACCACGUGAGCUUUCAGACACAUGACUGUUCUUCAGGUCCACUCUAGAUAUCAGUGUAUGUUUUCCAGGCUUGACUGGUAUCAACGGGAAACUCUUCCAGCUCAGUUCUGCAUUUUUUCUUCUGACUUUAUCUUUUCUAGAAGUCUUAGUCCUGGACAACAGUGUGCGUUCAUGCAAGUGCUACUCUGUGUGAAUGUAUGCACACAAGAUAUAAGUGGCAGAAAUGUCACUAAGUAUCAUGGAAGGUCAUUCUUCUCGGUGACUGAAUCAUUUUUGAAACUGUAGUUUAAAAUGUACUUAUGUGAUUGCUUUGCCUUCUUGAGCAACCCUCUGCAAUUUUAUGUAGAUGUGUUUUCUGCAGUACAGUGGGAGGCACAUGAGAUGAAGGCUGAUUGUUUUUAUUUAGGUAUUUGUAUGCAACUCUCAUGUAUCAUUUAAAAACAAAGAAACAAAACCAGGUUAUUUUUAUACAGAAGAAUGCUUGUUGUUCAUUUAAGAGACUGCAGCAAUUCUGCCAGCUCAGGCCUUAAGAAUCUUUUAGCAAUACUGAACACUUUCCAGAGGACAACAUAAAGUGACAACAUAUACUUCACUGCCAGAGCUGAAGUUGUGAAGUUGGCCGUGUUUUUAACCUGAGCAUCCUAAACCAAUCACCAUCUUGACUACAUCUGGGUUUCUCUUUGCUUUAAUAUAAUUUGUAGUAAGAAGCAAACCAGACACGUAAGUCAGUAGGGGAGUUGUAAAUUUUCAUACCGUAAGUGAUAAGAGUGUAGCACUUUCACUUUAUCCUCAUGUGGUCUGUGGAUCUGUAAGCAACUGCUCUGGGUAAUAGAGGAGAAAAAUAAAUACUCAGUUUUGAGAUUUCAGUGUAGAAGGAGGUCACCAGUGGAGUCAGACAAGGGCCUAUGCUGUUAAAUAUAUUUGUAACUGUUACGGCAAAGGAAGUGAAGAGCGAGAACAGUUUGUUGAUAAUACUAACCUUAUUCAGUGUUUUAAAGAUAAGUAUGUACAAAAGAAGAAUCUCAUGAGAUUGAGCAGAGAAUAAACAUGCAGCUUAAAUUCUGUGUAGGCAAAUGUAAAGGAAUAUACAUGGGAAAGACAAUCCUAGCUUUAAACAUAAAGGACUCUGAGUUGACUAUUUCUACAGAGGUGUGAGAUCUUGGGGCUACAGUGGAACUAUGGAAAUGUGAGCUCAAUGCACUGUAGUGGUAAGGGAACAAGCAAGGGCAUGGAAAAACAUAGCACUGGGUAAUACUAGGAAGGGAGCAGGAAACCAAAUGAAGAACACCAUUAUUUUACUGUACAAUUCUGUGGUGUUUGCUGGGUAGUCCGUGUCGUGCACAGUCGUGAUUGGUGGCAGAAUGGAAUAGUUCAGUGGAAGAGACCUACAAUGAUCAUCUAGUCCAACUACCUGACCACAUCCUGGCUGACCAAAAGUUCAAGCAUGCUAUAAAGGGUGUUGUUCAAAUGCCUCUUAAACACUGACAGGCUUGGGCACCGACCACCUCUCUAGGAAGCCUGUUCCAGUGUUUGUUGACCCUCUGGUUAAAGAAGUAUUUCCUAACGUCAACUGUGAACUUCCUCUGGUGCAUCUUUGAACCAUUCACACAUGUCCUGUUGCUGGAUCCCAGGGAGAAGAGUUCAGUACCUCCCUCUCCAAUUCCCCUGCUCAGGAAGCUGAAAUGAGGUCACCCCUCUUACCCUCCUUCUCUCCAGACUAGACAAACCCAGAAUCCUUAGCAGGACCUCUCAGGACAUGCCUCUAGCCUUUCCACCAGUUUUGUUGUCCUCUUCUGGACACAUUCAAGUGCCUUAACAUCCUUCUUGAAUUGUGAGGCCAAGAACCACACACAGAAUUCAAAAUGAGGCCACAGCAAGAUAAUCACCUCUUCUGACCAGCUGGUUAUGCUGUGUUAGAUGCACUCCAGGAUGUGGUUUGCUCUCAUGGCUGCCAGGGUUCACACUGCUGACUCAAACUGCUGUCAGCCAGAACCGCUAGAUCCCUUUCUGUAGGGCUGCUCUCCAGCCAUUCCUCUCCCAAUGUAUACUUAUGUCCAGCAUUACUGUGUCCCAGGUGCAGAAUCCAGCAUUUAUUUUUGUUAAAUUUCAUGCCAUUAAUGAUUGCCCAAAUCUUUAAAGGGUUAUAGUUGAAGAUGAAAAGGUACAAAAGGUGGUGGUAUGGAUGAAAUAAGGAAUAGCUCCUGCUAGCUUGGCUUCUUCAAAGUUGAAAAACUGGAGAGUACACAAAGAUCUAUUACAUUAUAAAUGUCAAGCAGAAAAUAGAAGAGGAAACUCACUCUUUCUUCUGGUCCAAGGACUAGAGGGCUUGCAAUGACAGUAACUAGUAGUCGCUCAGACCAAACAGGAAAAUACAUCUCUCCAGGGAACUCGCACCCAGGGAAGUCUCUGUCACAGGGUGCUGUGCGUACUGUAAGCUUUAUACAGUCUCAUACUGCACAACAGCUCAUCACCUCUGGCUUGGGCAGCUACUAGGAGCUACCCACCAUGCAUGCUGGUUUUGUAUGCUUGUGGUCACAGCUCAUGGCAGGGUACUCGAGACUUCUGUUAUGGUCCAAAUAUUUAUCUUCAGUUAGAAAUAAUGUUUGUAUUUAAUCUACACAUUUUUUUCAUUUUUCCCUGACUGAGAAAAUGUUCCUUUGUGGCUGCUUUAGCAUCUCCCAAUACAAGCAAGUGGGAUAGUAUUUGUCUUCUUGGAGCUCUAUUGGCAUUCUGAGGGGGAAGUCUAUGUGCUCUAUACUGCUGCAGCUGAUCCUGGCCUUCGUGGACCUCUCAGGCUAGCUUUUGUGAGGAUCUGUUGCAUGAUAAGAAUAAAAAACUCUGGGAAGAAUCCAAAUAAAGAGGGGUCUAAUAAUUGCAGUGCAUGUGGUUCAAUGAAAACGAAAGCAUUUAAUGCAAUCAUGUUCUGGGUUUCUGGCACCAUUCUGUGCAUUGGGAUGGAAACAGAUUUUUUUAUUCCUUGCCCCAGUGCAACCAGUUUCCAUUCUCUUCCCCACACUGCUCAUAUUAGGAUGGAAAUGUGAGGUUUUAUGGCUAAAACCUAAAACAUAAACUCAGAGGAACACAACACUGAAAGGUAUGGAAAGUGUCUCUAACCCAUCAGUGGCCCACUGGUGAAUACCUAGGAGAAAGGCUUUCUUGGCAUAGUUUCCAGCUUCCAGCACUGCGUUGUCCUGAGCCUGGGGAAUCCCUCAAGUUAGAAGCUGGAUUUUAUUCCAUGGAUUUGCCUGACUUGCCUGACAUGCCUUCUUGCUAGUUCAAACUGGUGUUGCACUUUGCAUUUGUUCCUGGCACAGACAGGCUGAGAGCAAGACAGGGGCACCACUGAGCUCUUCAGUGUUUGCCCGCGCCUACUUGGUAAUGUGUACCUGCCCCUCCAUGUCUACAAGGAACACUGUCUCCUCUGCUGUUACUUGGUAGUGGGGCAAUGAAGCAUUCUCGAGCUUCCCAUCCCAGAGCAUGCCUUGAGGGGAGAAGUGUGCCCUUGCUUUGAACCAUUCUAGCAUGGGCAUGCUGCUGAGAUGUGCUUGAUGUGCUUGUGGAUAUGCUGAAUAGCAUCAGACUUGUGGCCCAGGUAGUAGUGAAAUUUAAUGCAUGCAUAUACCCUCAAAACAGAACAGUAGAAUAAAAUUGUGUUCUGUGAAAUAAUAAGGAUUGUCCAUGGAUGAACAGCAAGAACUAUCUGCCAAGUGGCACUCAGAGAUUUUGCUCAGAGGGUCGCUGUAUCACAGGACAUCAGAGUAAGGCCACUGCACUGAAAAGUCUGAAACUGUCUGAAAGUUUGCAUUUCAGAAGUCUGAAACUUCAGUGUUUUUCUUGCUGAUUCUUCUGCAAGACUAGCUAACCCUGCUUGAGCCUACUGCAAACUGCCUAUUUUCCAUCCAUUAAUACAUUUUCCCCUGUAUUGCAAGGAUAUAUUUCAUGCAGAGGUUCACAUUGUGUCAUCUUUCUCAUAUUGACAGUUCUGCUAUGCCACUAUUGAGUUAGCCCUAAGAGAAUUAUUUUCUCACAGAUUCUUCUUCCUUAAAUGGAUUCUGAAAAAGCUUUGGAAAUGAUGUGGACAUGGUUGCCUAUAAAUAUGAAAAUCUGAUAGGUUUCUAACCCCUAAUUUUUCUCAACAGAAACUAUAACAUCUUUUUUCAGAGUGGGUAUGCAUAUGUUACAAUGAUGACAACUCUGUCAAUAAAUUUUUCAAUUUGAGAACAAAAGAAACAAGGACAAAUAUCAGAAGUCUGUGAAGGAUUUUUAAGAAGAGGGCAAAUAACAAAUGUAUUGCAGAUUUUCUUUUUACUUUUCUGUCUGAUGCAUUCUCUUCAGGCACAAAAAUGUUUUAAGAACAGUACAUGGGGAUAUUUUGAGCUCUGUAAAGGAGGGAAAAAAAAGGCUGUAGGGUACUUUAAAGAGAUGGACAUAGUAUUAAAAAUGUCAUUAUAUAUACCAAAAUAGGUGUAUCCAAACCCCACCUCUAAAUUAUUGGAAUCAAAUCACAAAAUCUUUAGUGUAUAAAAACAAAGGUGAAAUAUUAUUUCUAGUGAGAGAACAAAAAAAAAUAUAACCUUCAAAUAAUUUCUUACAUAAGUGAAAGUCAUAACAUGAAACAAAACAUUAUCAUUUAUCCUUGAGUCAUGAAGUGGGAAUAAAAGACAACUGAAAGAUUUUAGUCAGUCUUAGCCUCAGGACACAUCAGCAGAACUUCACUGAAAUUAGAGCUGUUCACUGUGGGCUGAAUGAGACCCCAAAUACAAGGCUUAAGUAGUAUAAUUUAUAUUGAUAUAGACUGUAGCUUUGUAUUAAUAGUAACCGUAUCCUGCAUAAUUCUUCUUUAUUACAUGUGUACAAUUGUUCCUCCUCAGUUCCAAACUAGAGUGGAACAAAUCUGGUGAAAGCGUUGUGGUUGAUGGAAUAAAUCACUUUCACCUCUACCACUGAUUCCAGCUCUGUGUUCCCUGACACCUAAACAAAAGAUCAUUUUAUUCAUAAUCAUGGAACCACAGAAUGUUAGGGAUUGGAAGGGACCUCAAAAGAUCCUCUAGUCCAAUCCCCCUGCUGGCGCAGGAACACCUAGAUGAGGUUACACAGGAACAUGUCCAGGUGGGUUUUGAAUGUCUCCAGAGAAGGAGAUUCCACAACCUCCCUGGGCAGCCUGUUCCAGUGCUCUGGCACCCUCACUGUGAAGAAGUUUCUUCUCAUAUUUAAGUGUUCUCCUGUGUUCCAGUUUGUACCCAUGGCCCCUUGUCUUAUCAUUGGUUGUCAUAAUGUUGGUUAUUGAAAAUCACAACAUGAAAAAAAUUGUCUUUACAGAGGGGAAUGGUCUCCAAAAUCUUCAGAAAAUAUUUUUAUUAUGCAUGCAUGGUUACCCUUAUUAUUCAAAGCAUUAUUAUUUCAUCAUUCACAUAUUAGAGUUACUGAAUAGUUAAAACAUAUGAUGGAUAUUUUAUGAGUGGAAGAGGAGCACCUCCCUGUUUAUUACGAAUGUCACACAAGCAGACAGAAUUGUAUAAAUCUUAAAUGACCAUUCAGGAGGGAAAAAAAUAUCUCUGUUUUGUCGUUUUAAUGAACAAGGCCUAGGUUCAGAUUAACCAGGGCUGAAGAUAUUAUUUGCAGAUAUUGUGAUUUUUAGUAAAGGUUUGUGGCAGUGACACUGCUAAAAUACACAACUUUUUCAUAUUCUUGCCAAGCAACAGAAAGAAAGGGGAGCAUCACAGUGCAGGAUCAACCUGUGCUCAUUCAGCCAGGUCUGGUCAUGCAGACAGGCAAAUGCUGUAGGUUUCCAUGCUCCCUCCAUAGUCAAGUUGAUGGGACAAACAGGUGGCGGUGGAGUCUGGUCAAUGCUGGGCUGAUCAACACAUUGCACCUUGGCUUUCAACUGUGGAUGAACUGCUCUUGCAAGUGAACACCUGGGAAUAAAGUUUGAGACCCAUUGCCUGUACUACAUUAACGCUUCAGAUGAUUGAGGGAAUGUUAUCUGCAAAGAGUUGGAAGGCAGCAUACUCUCUGUGGUUACAAAUAGUAACAGAUCCACAGAAAGGUUCAGAAGGUACCAAGUCGUGGACACACAAAGGGGUGGACUAAUUGUUGUAGCACAGGUAGGACACUGUAGGCAUCAUCUCUAGAACUAUUUCUUCUCUCAGACUGCUGAAUGGAGAGAGGUGUUAGUGUGGCCUCAUAUAAGCAAGUACUUGGGGAUGCCAGGUCACCCAGAAGGUGCCCUUUGCAAGCGAGACUCUCUCUCCAGAACUGAUGGGCUCUUUGAGGCUCCAUGGUGAAACACUGCCAAAUAUCAUAUAGUUUUAAAUACUGACUAUCUCAUGUCAGAGCUUGUGCACAGAAUUCUGCACAAAGGGCAUUCUCAAUGAAGUGAGAGCACUGAAGUACCCAGUACUUCAUUUGGCCAGAGAUGCCUUAGUACGCAGUGCUACUCCACAUAUUCCUUACCUUGUGGGAGCCAGAGCAAGACUUUGGUGGGACAUUUAAGUGAUUAAUCAUAAAUGUCAAAAGAUUUCCAUUAAUGCCUUUCUCAUCAAACACUGUUCCUUCAUCGAGGAGAAUUUUCACAGGAGUGCAUAAGGGCAGGUGCAGACAGAUGAGUCCCAGUCUGGGUGGAUGAACUGGUAUGACGCUGUCAUGUUUGUAUGUGUUUACUUUGUACCCAGGAGCCAUGCUCUCUAGGACAUGCUUUAGUUUGCCAUUUUGAAUGCAUUAGAAACUGCAUGUGGGUAGCAAUACCUCCUUAAAUUUUCAUCCAGAAAUGCACUGCUUCAGUGUCUUGUAAAUUCCCAUGACAGUGCGAGAGACCAUUUAUUACUUCUAAUAUGAACCCCUAACUGAUGUUAAAGAUUUGCUUCACUUUAUAUCCUGUGUUAGAGAGACUAAUGUACAAGCUGUAAACUGAAGAUAUAUUUUUAAUGGCAGACUGUUCUGAUUUUCUUUUUUUUCAAGAACUGCAAUUAAAAACUGAGUUCUGUGCCUAAUCCAGCAGUUUCACCUCCUUCUGAAUUUUUUGACUUUGUAACCUUUGAAACUACGCUAAGACACGUGGAGGACAGGGAGGUGUUUUGAGACAGCCAGCUUGGCACCACCAAGGUCAAGUCCUGCCUGACCAAUGUAGUGGCCUUCUACGAUGGUGUAACUACAUCAGUGGACAAAGGAAGGGCUACACAUGUCCUCUAUCUGGAAUUCUGUAAAGCCUUUUGACAUGGUCCUUCACAACAUCCUUCUCUCUAAACUGGAGACAUAUGCAUUUGGUGGGUGGGCUGUUUGGCAUAUGAGGAGCUGGCUGCAUGGUUGCACCACGAGAGUGGUGGUCUAUGGCACGAUGUCUGGGUGGACACCGGUAACAACUGGUAUCUGUCAGUGGUCCGUACUGGGACCAGUACUGUUUAAUAUCUCCAUAGACAUAUACACUGGGAUCAAGUGCACUCUCAGCAAGUUUGCGGGUGACUCCAAGCUGAGUGGUGCAGAUGACAUGCCUGAGGGACAGCAUACCAUCCAGAUGGACCUGGACAAGCUUGGGAAGUGGGCCCAUGAGUUUCAACAGACCAAGUACAAGGUACUGAGUCAGGGCAACCCCCAGUAUCAAUGGGGCAUGAAGGGACCGAGAGCAGCCCUGCAGAGAAGGACUUGGGCUACUGGUGUACGAAAAAUUAGACAUGAGCCGGCAAUGUGUGCUUGCAGACCAGAAGGCAAAUUGUAUCUUUGACUGCAUCAAAAGGACCGUAGCCAGCAGGUCAAGGGAGGUGAUUCUGCCCCUCUACUCUGCUCUGGUGAGACCCCACCUGGAGUACUGUGUGCAGCUCUGGAAUCCUCAGUACAGGAAAGACAUGGACCUGUUGGAGAGGGUCCAGAGGAGGGCCACCAGGAUGAUCAGAGGGAUGGAGCACCUCUCCUCUGAGGACAGGCUGAGAGAGUUUGGGUUGUUCAGCUUGGGGAAGGCUCCGGGGAGACCUUAUUGCAGACUUUCACUGCUUAAAAGUAGUCUAUUAGAAAGAUGGGGACAUACUUUUUAGAAGGGCAUGUUAUGACAGGACAAGGGGUAAUGGUUUUAAACUAAAGGAAGGGGAGAUUCAGCCUCAUACAUACAGUUAGGACCUAAAACAGUUGUACCAGACAGGACAAGUUGUGUUACAGUGAGGCAGAAGGAGGGGCACAUCACACAAAAAUGUUUCAAAAACUGCUGGCUAACUGGAAGCUGCUGUAAUUUCAGUUAUGUAAAGGACUUCUACCUCUGUCAUUUGUAGUCACAAAUCCUGUGAGUCAGAAUUGUUUUUAUAGAGCUGCUGACUGUUAAGCACAUAAGUCCAUCUGGGGUCUUUCUAACUUGCUUUCUUGACUCCAGUGGGCAUCAGGAAUGGGUGCUUAGAGGAAGAAUAUCUGGUGACUGUACAGGGGCACGCGCACAGACCUUUAAACAAUGCUGCACUGUUGGGGCCUUCUGGUUGUCUGGAGCUUGGCCUUCAUAACUGUAUUGUCAACUGUGAAGUGGAGCAUUUACUGGAGGGAUAAGCAGAUAAAAUAUGAGAUCUCAGUAUAAGAGUAUUUUUGUGAUAGCGUAUGUCUUGACAAAUGAAGUGUUCUGAGUUUGCUAAACAGAAGCUUUGAAAUACAUUCCUGGGCUUCUUAGUGUCCUCAGCUGAUCAGCUGAAAAGCAUCACUAGUCUAUAUGUGUGGAUAAGAGCUCAUUCUGCUCUGCCUUGCUCCUCAUGAUGUCAUUUAAAACUGUGCAAAAUAAAUAUUACCUUUCUUAUUUGUUUUGUGCUUGUUGUAAUUAAUCACUUGCAUAGUAAGGAAAGGAGUUUUGUCUUUUGUGAGUUCCUAUCAGCUUUCUGUGUAAUUAUUUAGUGCUAUUUCCUGUUAUAUUAUUUGGACAGACAUAGGGCUGGCAUUUCAGUGUCAACUUAAUAGCAAUGAAUAUUUGUACAUAAUGUUUUGUGUAAAUGACUUAGGCAUUACUCUUCUGUCAUCUCUCUGCAACAGAGGGGAAAAAUAUUCUAGCCUUUGUUUUUAUCUAUAGACUAAAAUAAAUAACUAGAAUUAUUCAGGAAGAAAUAAAUUAUUAAUUCCCGAUGUAUUGUCCCACUUUUAUUUGUCUUGAGGAUAUGUUUAUAUUUUGCAUGCCUCUAGAAGAAUUGAUGGAUUUUUCUUGUUUUGGUUUGGUUUGGUCUUUUUUCAGUUGCUGUUUUCUAUAAGGCAAAAUUAUAGUGUUGAGAUUAUUAUAAAGUGUAGCUGCUGUAGUCAAAAAGUGUGUGUUUUCUCUGAGAUGAAAUGAAAUGUCUCCAUUAAUCCCCGGAGGGGAAGGAAUGAAUGUAAGCAAAAUGUAAGAAAUUUUUACUUCUGAGUACUGUAUGGAGGCUGAAUCAAAUUGGCUGUGGAGCUGCAUUCUAGUUGUCUAAUAGGUUAUGUUUCUUUGUUUGUUUAUUUUUUCUGUAAUUUUUUUUUAUUUUAACAUAUUUAAUACAUUUCUGAUUUAAAAAAAAGGGACACUCCUCUGAAGAAAUAUUUUCAUGAAGAACUACUUUUUUUACCAGAUCUGACAGCUCAGGUUCUUAUGCAGAUUGAUAUUGUAAUGAAAUAACUGGUUUUCCAUACCAAAUAUUGCUACAAUACAUGCAAUCUACAGAUGCAUCUUUACAAGAUAAUGAUUUAUAGUUAUCAAAAAUGGGUUUGAUAGAAAAUAGAGUUCAGACCAGAAGGGAUAAGAAAUUUUUGAGUGAUUUUUGCAAAGUUCAUUUCCAGAAUACAAUUAAUCAUAUCCCAUGUAUACUGUUCAGUGGUCUGUGAGGUCAGCCCACUUCCUCUGUGGUUGGUGGAAAGGUUCCUAUUCACUCAGUGGAGUUUCACCUGUGGUAGCAAAAGAUAUGAACAUCCCUGCCUGGCACCUGCAAUAUAUGCAUAUAGCUACAAUUUCCCCCAUGCAUAUUAAAAUGACCAGGAAAAGGAUUUCUUUAAGCUAGUGUUGGUAAAAGGACAAUAAUCUUUCUUCUGCUUUGAGAAUCAGGUAAUCUGAUUAGCAAUUGGUAUCUGCAAGCUGGAGCAACUCUGGAGACAGAUUAUGUACAGUGGCUUUUCAUGAAAUAUCCAGCUAUGUUAGUGCAGUAGGAGGAGGAAGAAACACAAAGGUCAGUUUUAAUCACUACUUCCUGAAAGCACUGGAAUUUUGAAUCAAAAUCACAACAGUAAUGGAAAAGGAAAAAAAUUGCUGUAUUUACUGAUUGACAGGUGGUUCCCUUUUUUUAAUUUGGUUGUUUGGUGGUGGUGCGGUUGGUUGUUUCUUUGGUUUGCUUUUUUGGUAUUGUUUGUUUGUUUGUUUGUUUGUUUUUUGCUGUGGCUUCUUUACUGUAAUUAAUUUUAUUUGUUAGAUUUCAUUUCAUAUAAACUUUUCCAUUCUGUGUCAUAAAAUAUCCUCUUAUCCUCCCUAGAAAGUAACUUAAGAAAACCUAAGCUAGCAGAAACCUUAAGCGGGAUAAUUAUGUGCUUUGGAAACAUAUCUAGCUCUGUCUAUUUGCAGAACUGAAGAAGUGGUCUGUAGUGAUUUGGGUUACUUUUAUUGAUUGGUGAUUCCUUCAAAUAGAUUUCGCUUUGUCUUCUGUUUUCCUCAGACAAUUCUAGCAUGAAUUGUGUUUCUAAUCUGUGCAAGAGUACAAGAGUACUUUUAACUAAAUUACUUGAGCGUGAUCCUGAAGGUAUAAACUUGUAUUGUAGUGAACAAUUUUAGGGAACUACCCCAUGUUGUCAAUCCAAACUUCAGAGAGUCCGGAUAUUUUUUUUUCUUUUUCCAGCUGCAUUUUUCCAAGUAGAUCAUAAGGGAAUUUUCUUCUUUUUAAGAGCUCUUUCUGUGAGCCAGCUUGUGUUAGGACUUGGUGGUGUAAUACAGAAAUUGGUGCCUGAAAGAAACUUCAUCUCUUUUUCAUUAAUCUUUGGGUUGUUAUUGUUAACUUUUUAUUUGUUUGUUUUUCCAGUUUAUAUGCCUUUCCAAUAAAAGACUGACUGACCACUUUCAUUUUUCUAUUUUGAAAAUUCUUCACUAUGAGGGUGGUGAGGCACUGGAACAGGUUGCCCAGAGAAGCUGUGAAUGCUUCAUCCCUGGAAGUGUUUGAGGCCAAGCUGGAUGGAGCAACCUGGUCUAAUGGAAAGUAUCCCUGCCCAUUGCAUUGGGGUUGGAACUAGAUUAUCUUUAGGGACCCUUCCAGACUAAACCAUUCUAUGAUUUACUUCUCUAUCACAGUUUCUUUGGGAACAAGAAAUGCUUUUUGAUGAAGCAUCUCUUCGUUGCCUGUAUUGCUUUUUUUUUUUUUUUUUUCCUAACAGUCAGAUGUUAAAGGUCUAUCACAGGCUGAAAAAUUUAGGGACUAUUGCAAGGUCCUUGAUUAGUCACUUCAUAGUUUUCUUUCUGUAAUGGCACUCUGUGUCCAAAAGUAUCUUAACUAAACUUUGGUUUGUUGUGUCCACGGCAUGCCCUUUGACUGCAGUAAAAGCAUAGCCUGUCCCACCACAGGGAAGGAUGAAACCUCAGAAGACAUUUGAUCAAGCUCUUCUAAUGACUGCAUAUUUUUCUGGAUGUGCAGGCAUGUGGGGAGUUUCAGUCUGCUCAUCUGAAAUACAAAACCUUAUCUUCCAGCACCCUCUAUUAAAUUAACUUGCUUCCCCAUUGCCACUCAGUGGUAGUGCCAACCUGCAUAUGUGCAUUGCACUUGGAGAGUAGAAGCCAUGAGGGUGGUCUGCACAAGACUGCCUAUUUAAAAAUAGCUGCUGUCUUCUGGGGCUGAGCAUAUUUCCAAGGUGAGCUCAGAACAUGGGGACAUGGGUUCCAAUCACUGCUGGUGUCAGGCAGCCCACUGGUUUCUGCAGGGAGCUGCUUACCUCUCCCCAUUGCUAGAGCAGGUCUUUCUUGCAGACCUGUUGUCUGAAGAGCCAGGAUCAUUUGCUGAUAGAAUCAAAGAACAAUUUGGGUUAGAAGGGACCUUUAAAGGAUUUGAGGAGGAGGAUUUGAAGUAGAUGGUCUGCAGAGGUGCCUCCCAGCAGUAGUUCUGAUUUUCUAUAAGAGCUUGCUAUAUUUUUAACAAUUUCUGACAGAUAUUUGCUCUUUAUUAACGCUUAAAUACUUUGCAGACCUCUUGUGUGCUUGUGUGUCUGUGUGCUGAGGGUUUCACUGGCUGUCUCAAGUUCCCAGCAUCGGACAUGUGGCAGCUCAGGCAUGAGCGUGCAUGGGAGAAAGACUGUCAUGGCUAUUUUUCUGUUUACCAGUAUAUAUCAGGCUGUUGUCCUCUUGUAUUGACAAUUAAUAAUUUUUACUGUAUUUAUUUCAUACAAUAUUACUCUUGUGAACUUCCACACUCUCUGCCUUACAUACUUCCUUUUUUCUUUGGAGUCCCAGAAGCUAAAAACUUAGGGCAGCUACAACCUUAGAAGACUGGAGGAUAUAACAUGUCUUCAGUGGCAUAACAGACCAGGGGUCCUUGCACAUUGUGGAUUGUGUCCACUGGACAGUGUGCUUCCAUUGCAGAAAUGACUACUUACUUCUUUUUUUUUUUUUUUUACUGGAGACCACAUUUGCCAUGUAAGUCAUAAAGCAGCAGUCCAGGACAUCCACAUGAAAUGGCCUGUUUGCUUCACAGGUGUGUCUCUGACUUCCUGGAUCACUGCUACUUGAUGUUGGGGUGAUUGUAGGGUUAGUUUAGACUGAUCCUUUUCAGAUGGAUUGUCAAACCAUGCUCAUCAUACAUUUGUGAAAUUAUCUAAUAUAAUUCAAAAAAGAAAAAUGAAGGAAGAAUGGUAAAGAGAACAACGAGUGGUUCAUGUGGUUCAACACAGCUGGGCAAUCAGCUGACUUAUUAAAAAAAAAUCUAAAUCAUACCAAAUAUAAGCUCAGUCUCCCUCUUUGCUACAGAGGGAGAAGCCACAUGUAAGCAGGGGACUUUAGCUGCCCCACAUAUGGAAAAAGGUUAUCUUUCCUUUCUGUCUUAUUUGCCACCACAUCACAAAGGAGAGUGAGAGAGGUGGGUACUCUGUGGUGUUGGGUGUGGCACGGGCUGUCUUCUGCCUCAAUUCUUUAGUGUCUAAAAAGGAUCAAGCUUAUAUUGUAUUUUUCUCUUUAGUGAAGUACUGAUGGGAUCUCUCUGUCUGUCUGAUAUUUCUGGAACUUUCCAAAAAUUAUAUUUUUUGCCAUAUUUUUUUACUGUGAAGUGUUGAAAUUGGUUGAGUGCAGAAUUUUUAUCAAGUGCAGAUGAAGAAGAAUAUCAGCACACAAGGAAAAUGUGAUCAUGUAUGCUGGAUUUUAAGAUACUGGAAAUGCAGCUGAGUUUAAAAACACAAAAAGUUCAUUACAUUUUCUAGUCUCUAAGGAUCUGACAGUCUUUUAAGAAUCACUUUGGACAAAAAUGCCUAUACAAGAAAAUGGGGAAGUAUAUUUUAUUCAGUAAAUGUAAGAGGGUUUUCUUUGUUUUGGGUUUAACUUGGGUAGGUUGGGUUUGUUUAUUUGUUUUUGGUGGUGGUGGUGUUAGUGAAAAAAAAGAAAAGGAAUUGUUGAUUGUUCUGAGUUUAGCCUUGGCAAGUCACAAAGCUACUUUAUUAAAACCUCAGCUGUGCCCAAAACACAUGUUCCAGCAACAUAAACACUUUACCAUGGCUUAAAGGCCAGGCUGAAUGUCAUGGCAGUGGGAUAUUAGAACUGCAUUUUGCAGAAUAUCAGUUAACAAUGUUUCUUCCACCAAGUAAAAUAAUUUUUUACUGAAUUUGCAUUAUUUAGAAAUCAAUACGCUUAUUAAGAACCAGGAGAUUUUUAGUGAUUCAAUAGUUAUUAAAAGCAGUAAAAUAAAGCUCUUAAACAGAUUAUAUAACUUGAUACUAGAAAACUUAAUUUAUCUGAAGGCAUUGCAGUUUGCAAAUCUAAGGGAUUCCCUUUCUAUAGAUAAUAGGAAUUUGCAGACAAUUUAUGCAACGUACACACCUUGAUUUAUUGAUGUUUAAUUCUAGCAGUAUGUGAGAUGAGUCCAUGAGGUAGUGGUAAGAAGUGUGAAAAACUAUUGCUUUUGCUUUCUUACAGGGCACUUUUUCCUAAUUAAAUAAUUUAGUCUAUGAUGUAAUACUUGGUCUCCUUUCUCUUUCUUGCUGGAUGGCAUAGCCUUUGUUGUAACCAAAUUCAAAGGGUACAAUUCUAAGAACCCACAGAAUGCAUCUGUGUCCAUUUAGGUAUUGGCAAAGUCAGAUAAACCCAACAACAGAUCACACAGUACUCCUGGCUCUACUUAGAAGUCAUGCAGAAGCUCCUUUUUCAUGGAGCCAAUAAUAUUCCAGAUGUUUUCUGCCUGCUGUUUCAAAAGGAAUACUUCGAAUUAUUGAAAUACACUAAUUUAGACUGUGCAAGGUGCUGAUCAUUCACAGUUGGGUAAAAUGUGCUGGAUGUAAAUAAAUAAAUAAGUCCUAAACUGAAUUUAUGUCCCUUUAUUCCUGUUUAUGAGACCAUGAGGAGGACAGGUCUGGUCCUCUCUGUGGUAUUACGAGGCAGACUGCUGCACUACCAUGGGCCUCUCACCACGGUUAGUAUGCACUAGCAGACAGUGCCCUCCUCUUCUGAGUGAUCAUGCACAAAGUAAAUCAGUAAAACUCUAGUGGCUGAGAAACUGCAGCGGAACUGAAUAGGUCUGAUUGUCACUCCUGGCUUUGCUAUAGAUUGUCUGUAUGGCCUUGGAUGGACAUUGGUUUCUUUUAUACAGAGAUGGAAGCCAGAUGUAUGUUCUUUCUCCUGUUUAUUUUGGCUGGAGCUUCAGAGCAGAGGCUGACUCUGAGUGUGUUCUGCAAGACAAAGAAUUCACAGAACCUCCCCAUCCAUGAAUGCAGGACUGAUGUACUUUUGCACUGCUGAGGAGGCAGUGGCUCCUCACUGCUUGCUGGAUGUGAUGGCUCACCUGCUUGCUCUGGAGGGAUCUGCAGUCACACUACAUAGUGCCAGAGCACCAUGAGUGGGUCGGUCUCAUUCUUGACAGCAACUAUGCUCAAGAGAAGUGCUAAAGGUAGCCUUAGCUGAGAAGGGAAUUUAAAUGGUUAUCUUGUCACCAGAUUAGUCAUAGGUGUGUCAUAGAGGGGAAGUCUGACAGAACUUUGUUGUACUUACUGCCAGAAGAAAGUGGAAAAUCAUGUUCAACAAAAGGAGCAGAAGCCAAGCCAAAUCCCCAGUGACCUAUUCUUCUUCUUGCUAAGCGGCUACAUGUGUUCUGUCGCUGAGCAUCCUGCUAAACUUUCAUGGAAAUUUUUGGUGGGGUGUGCUGGGACUGCUGACUCAGUGCAGCUCUUGCAGCCUAUUCAACAAAAACAUCUGGUACAGCUCUGAUUUACACUUGUUUGAAGAGAGAAAAGCAGGUGCAUAUAUUCCUGCAGUGGGCAGCUGUCAAAAGAAGGGACCUUUUCCCACACCAUCACUCCUUAGGGUGACUCUGCUCACUUCUGUGACUGUUAAGAGUUUAGAAGCCACAUACUCUUAUCUCAGCACAUAAAUAUUAGGCAUCCAUCAAUCAAAUGACAAUGAGAAACUCUAUUUCCUUCUUACACAGAAUAAUUUAUAUCACUAAUGAAGGAUUUGUCUGUUUGGUGUAAGUGGUCUGUUUUCAACUGGUGGAGUUAAUUUAAAUGGAUUUAGAUUUGGUAGACUGAUGUAGCUGAAUGGAAAAAUAUCUCACAAUUUAAUAGAGAUAUCCACUGAGGAGCUAAAUGACUGGUAAAAAUUAUUGAUGUUUUCUUCUACAAAAUAAAUCUUAACUAACAGAUCUAUUUAAUAGAAGUAUCAAGUACUUAUCAGUUUGUUGUGUUACCCUGCUGCAAUUUGGGAAGAUAAGAAAGAGUUGUGAGGUGAGUCUGCCCCUCUGGUAUUGGUGCUGAAGAUUGAAGGCCAGCUCUGCAAUGAGUGUAAGCAUGCACAAGCACUGGUUGAACUGUUUAAUAGUUUCUAGGGCACUGAUGUAGCCAUCCACUAGAAGCUCCAGGAUAUAUUCCCAUUUGGAAUGCUCCUUUUCCAGCAGUUUGGCACAGGUUUGAAGUGUAGUGACUAUCUGCAUUGGAAAGCUAAACUUAAUGAAGUAGUUAAUUGGGCUUAAAGGCUGCAGUUCACUAGUGCAUGUCUCCAGGAUUAGGCUGGCAUAGUUUCUUUGAAAUCACUGAGUUAACACUGGCAUGAAGUUGGAAUAAGUGCCAAAUGGAUCUCUAAUCUUCUGUCAUCAGUCAGAAAUGGUGCUUCUGUGGCAAAGUAGGUAAACAGCAUCCUGGGCUGAGUUAGGAAGGGUGAUGCGAGCAGAUCCAGGGACGUGACCCUUCCACUCAGCUCAGUGCUGCUCAGACAUAUCUACAGUACUAGCUCCCACUCUGUGCUCCCCGGUACCAGAGAAACAUAGACAUCCUGGAAAGAGUUCAGCAAAGGGCCACAAAGAGGAUGGAGAAGUUGGAGCAUCUGACAUAAAAGGAGAAGCUGAGAUAGCUGGAACUGCUUAGGCUGUGGAAGAGAAGGAUCAGGAGGAAUCUCUUCACUGUGUACAAAUACCUGCUGGGAAGGAAUAAAGAAAAUUGAUCCAAAAUCUUUUGGGGUGUCCAAUGAAAGAACAAGUGCACAAUAGGCACAAGGUGGCUUUUGGUUGGUGGUUUGGGGUUUGGUUUUGUUGAUAUUUUCACUGUUACAGUGGUUGAACACUGGCAUGGGAUAGCCAGAGAGGUUAUGGAGUUUCUAUCACUAGCCAUAUUCAAAACGUUACUGGGUAAUACCCUGUGUAACUUGUUGUAGGUAACCCUGCUCUAAGCAGGGGGUUUGGAUUAUUAAUAGGUAUCUCUAAAGACCCCUCCCAGCCUCAACCAUUCUGGGAUUCUGUCAUUGAAGAAAGUCUCAAUGUUACAGCCAGCUGCACAAUGUGUGCAGAAAUGCCAUGGUUGUUAACUCACCUUAACUGAAUCACAGAAUCAUAGAAUGUCCUGAGUUGGAAGGAUCCACAAGGAUCAUUGAGUCCAACUCCUGUCCAACUCCUGCUCCCACCCUCUGGGUGAAGAACCUUUUCCUAAUGUCCAACCUAAACAUCGCCUGGCACAUCUUCCUGCCAUUCCUAUGGGUUCUGCCAUUGGUCACUAAAAAGAAGAGUUUGGUGCCUGCCCCUCCUACUCCCCUUGUGAGGAAGUUGUAGACCAUGACGAGGUCUCUUCUUAGUCUCCUCCAGGCUGAACAAACCAAGUUACUUUAGCCACUCCUCAUACGGCUUCCUCUCCAAACCUUUCACCAACUUUGUAGCCCUCUUCUGGACACUGUCCAGAAACUUAAUAUCGUUUUUAUCCUGUGUUGCUCAGAACUGCACACAGGGCUCCAGGCGAGGCUGCACCAGUGCAGAGUAGAGUGGGACAAUCACCUCCCUUGACUGGCUGGCAAUGCCGUGCUCAAUGCACCCCAGGACACGGGUGGCCCUCUUGGCUGCCGGGGCACUGUUGGCUUAUGUUCAACUUGCCAUCAACCAGAACCCCCAGAUCCCUCUCUGAAGAGCUGCUCUCCAGCAUCUCGUUCCCCCGUCUCUAUGGACAGCCAGGGUUGCUGUGUCCCAGGUACAAAAUCCAGCACUUGCCCAUGUUGAACUUCAUGUGGUUGGUGAUUGUCCAGUUCUUCAGUUCUCCAGAUCCCUCUGCAGGGCCUUUCUGCCCUCCAGAGUGUCAACUGCUCCUCCCAAUUUUGUGUCAUCAGCAAAGUUAUUAAGCAAUCCCUCAAGUCCUGUGUCUAAGUCAUUUAUGAAGACAUUGAGGAGUGCUGGCCCUAAGAUGGACCCCUGCAGAAACCGCUAGUGACUGGUCACCAGCCCGACAUAGCUGCAUUUACUAGAACCCUUUGAGCCUGGCCCAUCAGCCAAUUGCUCACCCACUGCAUUGUGUGUUUAUCCAGCUGUGUGCCGGACAUCUUGUCCAGGGGAAUACUGUGAGAGACAGUAUCAAAGGCUUUACUGAAACCCAAAAAGAUCAUGUCAACAGGAUUCCCUUGGUCAACUAGGUGGGUAACCUUGUUGUAGAAAGAAAUUAAGUUUGUCAAGCAGGACUUUCCCCUCAUGAACCUGUGCUGGCUGGAACCAAUGACUGCACUGUCAUUCAGGUGCUUUUCAGUAACUCCCAGAACAACCUUCUCCAUGAUUUUGCCAGGCAAAGAAGUGAAGCUCACAGGCCUGUAGUUGCCAGGGUCAUCCCUGUUGCUUUACUUGUAGACUGGGACAUCUGCCAGCUUCCAGUCAUGCAGGACCUCUCCAGAUUCCCAGGAGCAUUGAAAAAUCACAGAGAGAGGUCUUGCUGUGAUGUUAGCCAGCUCUUUAAGCACCCUUGGAUGAAUCCCAUCAGGCCCCAUCUGCUUGUAGGGAUCUAGUUGGAGUAGCAAAUCCCAUUUAAGUUGCAGAUCAACUGGGAGUUUAUUCUUCUCACAGCCAUGGUUUUCUAAGCCAGGGUUAUGGGGACCCCCAAGUCCAUCACUGGUGUUGAAGACUGAGGUGAAGAAAGCAUUAAACGUCUCAGCUUUGUCUGUGUCCCUGUUAAUAAGUUGACCAUGCUCAUCAGGUAAUGAUGUUUGCCUUUUGCCUUUAAUAUAGUUUUUAAAGCCUUUUUAUUGUCCUUCACAGCAUUGGCCAGCUUCAAUUCUUAUUGAGCUUUGUCAGCAAGAAUUUCCUCCCUGCAGUAGUGAACAGCAUCUCUAUAGUACUCCCAUAUUGCCUGACCUUGCUUCUACUGACCAUGUAAUUUCUUUUUUUGCUAUAUUCCAAGAAGAAGAUCCCUGCUUAACCAAGCUGGCUUUUUGCCUCACCUGUUAGAUUUUCAUCAUUUUGGACUUGCCUGGUUCUGUGUUCUUAGUAGGUGGUACUUAAAAAAUGACCAACACUGAUGGACCCCAACAUCUUCAAAAGCUUCUUCCCAAGGAAUCUCACUAAGUACUUCUCUGAGCAGCCUGAAAUAUGCCCUUUUCCUAUCUAGGGUUAAGGUUUUGCUGGAAGUUUUCCUCCCAUUUGCAAAAAUUUUAAACCUGGCUGCAUCAUGGUCACUGUGGCCAAGGAAGGCAUCAGUCGCCACAUCUUCCAUGAAACCCACUCUGUAAGUGAGAAUCAAAUCUAGGAAGGCACCUUUCCUGGUCAGUUCCCUCAGUACCUGCACCAAGAAAUUAUCAUCCAGGUGUUUCAGGAAUAUUCUGGACCUGUUGGUGCCAGCUGUAUGAUAUUCCCAGUUGACAUCUGGCAAGUUAAAGUCCCCCAUAAGGACAAGGGCAGAUCAUUUGCAGGUUUCAUUUAGUUCCUUAGAGAAUAUCUCAUCAGUGUCAUCAUCCUGGCUGGGUGGCCUAUAGUAGACACCCAUGAUGACAUCCGCUUUAUUUGUCUGACCCUUAAUCCUUACCCAUAGGCUCUCAACCUUGCCAUUGCCAACUGUCAGCUCCAUGCAACCCAGUUGUGUGCUGAUGCAGUUCAUGUGCUGCCUAAACUUCGCUCACCAGUCUCUCAUUCUUCUAAACAUGGUUCAUACUGAUUCAGAUAACAAGGAAACACUGUGACAGAUUCAAUUAGGGCACAGAGGAAUGUCUAAAGUGUAAGUAACACUUGAGAAUUACACAGAAAUGUUUGGGGAGAAGGAUGAACAAUGCCCUGACUGUUAUUCACUGACCAUCGGAGCAAAUGAGCUUAGCUAGCAAAGAGAAAGUGUACCUCUGAGCCAGUCAAAUGCAAGAUGAGAUCUGCAAGUCAAACCGCAAUUCAGUUUUGCAUGGCAUUUUACUAUAAAAGGCCCUGUGUGUUAAAUUCCAUGUACAGUUUCCAGUUUUCAUGUGGUUUUGCAGUUACAUCUACUGGGAUUAACCCUGCAACUUGUACUUAACAAUGCUUCAGGUGAUGGUUAGGCUGAACAGAACAUUCCAUGGUUGCUUCAGCUCUGCAGUGUGGGAGAUUUGAGGGAUUUUCUUCAAGUUAAUGUUGGAUGGGUUUCUAUUAGAUGGAGAUUUGUUAUUAAACUAGCCAGGCCCAAAAGAAUUUCAAGGCCACCUUGGAAAGCUGAAAACACGACGUAAAUCAACAGACCUAUUAGCAGUGAGACUCGGGCGCGUGGACAGCUCGUGAACAUGGACAAUAUCCAAUCAGCCAAUGCAUGCUUGGAGCGUGGACGCGUGAUCAGGAAAUAACUGCAUAUAUAAGGAGGCUUGUUUCUCUAAUAAAUGGCUUCACUUGAAUUCAUAUUGGAUUGUGUAGAGUCCAUGAUUUUUCGCCCUUGCACUGCAGGACCAGGAAUUAGUAAGAAAUGUGAUUAACAUUGUGAUUACAUUUAGUUUUCACAGGUUUGCCUUCCCAAUAAGAUGGCAUUUCCAUUCUCUAAAAGGCAAAUGUGGACAGAAUAUGACUGGUGAGAACAGGAGUCUCAGAUCCAGCCUGUGACAGGUGUAGCAGAAGACAGCCUGAAGCAUCCAGCUAGACACUGUUAUCUCAAGGAGUUUGGCCAAGGCUGCUCUGUGGUUUGGGAACAGAAGUUCACCUGAACCUCAGGGCAGUGUUUGUUACUGGGCAAAGGAUUUGCAGAGAGCUUUUGAAGACUUCCCAGGUGGAGCAAAAAUGCUCUAUGCUAUUCUAAUGUUUUAGAUCUAUGUGAGUGAUUCCUAAACUUCUGAGAAACCCCAGUGUGAGGGGCCAGUGAGGCUUUACUAAAGCAGCUUCUUUAAAACAUUGUACUAUCUGUGCAGAAACACUUCAAUUGCAACAUACUAGCUAUGUUUAAAGAAAAACAAACAAACAAACAAACAAACAAAAGCUCUGAAUGUUUUGUGGCAAAGAGUGCUGGGGAUGGACUUGCAAGGUUAUGUAGUUGUGAGAAAACAGAUUGCUAGAACCCAUCAGGUUUGUACACACCCAGUGUUCCUUUGUGUUUGCUGGUGCUUGCUGUAUUCCUGUUUGUCUUUUGACUGCUAUUUUCUCAUUUCAGGUGCCUUCAUUCUCUCAGAACAUUCAAUGUGCUUUGGAACACAGCUAUUAUUUUAAAUCACCUACUCUUACCUGCAGACAGUGUGUCUGUUUGGGAAUUCUGACCCACUAACAUGAAUGUACGUUAAUUGAUAUGAUCAGCUAGUUCUGCAGUGACAUCAGUCUGUCAGGGAGGUUGAUCCAGGCAGUCGUGGUGGAGUAAUGAAGAGUGCCUCCAUGAAACAGGUGCUAAAGCCUCAGAAUGGAAACGUAUGAUACAUGAAGAAGAACAUGCAAAGUCUCUCAGAGAAUAAACAGUAUUAUUUCCUGACAAAAUGGCACACUGAUAAUUAUUGAGCAACAGCAUGACAUGCAGAAGAUAAAGAAACCCUAAAAAUGGAACUGACGUGUUUGUGAGACUGUUGCAGCUCAGGUCUUUAUCUACUUUGGAGUCUGUACCAAACUGCUUCUGGUUUGUCUGGAGAGGACAUCAAGCGCAUCUGCCACGGAGACUCCCACACAAACCAAGAGUACAAAAGAUUCACAGGUAUUUUUCCAGACUGACAGGGAAACCAUGCUAAUAGGAGCAUCAGUAAUGCAGCAAAAGCUCAGGACAAUGCCAGAGGAAUCUGACACCUACUUUUUUGAUGUGAUGCUGCCACAAGGUUAUUCUUCCAUGCCUGGGACACCAAAGUCUAAAUCUAUAUUCGUCUCAGAGCAUUCCAUGUAGAGCCAUCUCAAAAGAAAAGGAUUGCAGACCUGGAGAAGAGAGAGAACAAGAGUGGAGCCACCAAAUGAAAAAGUGAUGGAUGGUUUGCAGAAUGACUUCGUAAAUAUAAGCUGGGAAGGAAGGUACACAGCUAGUCCCACCAGAGAGCUUGACCCUUCUCUCCCCAGAAGUGCCCUACAGGAUGAUGCCCUGACUGGUCCCAGUAAAGGUGACUGUGCACAUAGGCUCACAGUUGCAACAGAAGUGAUCUGUGCCCCUUUGCAAGUCCCCUUGGUCUGUGCUUUGGCCACUUCAGCUGCAGACUCCCACUCUGGCACUGGUAGUAUGUCUGCCUCUCCUCUGACGGCAAGCUGGAGGAACCUGCCUGGCCUUUGCACACAGAGUUGGAGCAUGAGAUGUGUUUGUGUCAUCUCCAGGUGGACAGUGGGGAGAAAGCCACAGGGAAGUGCACGUGGGUGGGAUGCAAAGCAUACCCAUGUGCCAAGCACCCCCACUGCAAUGGGGAGAUGGGCAGAUCCUGCUGGAAGAACUCUUUCCCCACAGAUGAAGCAGGCACCAACUGGGAAUUCCUGGGAGGCAGAUGCCCUGUGAUAGGAGUGUGGCACCAACAACUGAAAUUGUGUGUUAUCUUUCAGAGCAGUGUUUAAUUUGAAGCGUAUUUCCAACUGACCUGACAAAUUAUUUUCCAAGGCAACAACAGAUGGCAGAAGUCAGAUGGUGCAGUAAUUUCAAAGCCUCUCCAGAGGAAGGAAGUGAAAUUACAAGCAUAUACUCUCUACGCAUUAGGAAAGCAUGGGAUCUUAAUAUCUGCAAUAGCUGAAAAUAGUGUUAAGAAGACAUGUCAGCUGGACUUUUGAAGUUAUUCUCAUUGUCUUGACUGGUAUGGUUGCACAUUUCUCAAACCUUCUUGAUUUCUAAAUGGUAUAUUAAGCCAACAUUUAAAUUACUUAUUUCAUUACUUAGAUGUUUUCUAUGCAUCACCUUUGUCAAAUCACAUUGUUGCUUGUUGCAUCAGUUUCUUGGCUGCAAAACAUAGAUAAAUACCCUCCACUGUUCCUAUGCUUUUAGAUGACAGACUGCCUAACCAAGAAUUUUUUCAUAUCUUCCUUUUUUUUUUUCCUCUUCUUUUUUUGGUGCUGGACUCUGGCUGGAAAUUUAUCCCAUGCAAGAAGUUGUUGGGCUGGAUUGCUUUGCUACCACCUGCUGUGUAAAGGAACAUCAAAGUGACUGCUGUUUCAAUGUCUUUGCCUUUCUUUAUUGUUAUCUAUUUAUUUAAGCUGGUAAAGGUUUGCUUUUCCUUGUUGCAGUUUUACUGUUGCCUGUCCCUUCCCAAGAUUGAACUGAAUGUUUUGAUAGUUCUUUUCGAUUUUC